GAGAAUUUCCUAUUUGCAUAAUUGCAUCGCAAGUAGCCAAAACAAAAUGUUUGGGGGUAAAAAAGGAAUAAAAAUGAGACUUUCGGAGAGUGAAGUGGUAGCGAUAGCAAGGAGGAGGGAAGCCAAAGAAGAUCAGAAGAAAAAGGAAGCACUGGAGAAGGCUAGGAAGAUAAGAGAAGCAAAGGAGAAGAAAGAGAGGGAGAAGAAGCGUGCACAGGAUGAGUUGAACAGGAAAUUUGAAGAGAAGAAAAAAAUAGAAAGAGACAUAGAAAGGUUGAGGCGCAAGAUCGCAGAUAUGCACUAUUAAUCGAUCAUCAACUCUCUGGCAGUGGCAUCUGCAAACUCCUUCCAGACUUGUUUAAUUUAUGUUUGCUUUUUUACUCUAUUUUACUUUUUUCUUUGGUUUUUUUUCCCCCUUUUGUUAUUAGCUGAUGGUCUUUCUUGUCUAUGAAUUGAAAUAAAGCAGCUUAUUUGAUGUACUCAAAUUAGUUUCCCUCCUCUGUUUUGAAGUUUUUGCAUAUUUUACAUGUUUGAUGUUUCCCCUUGCUAUGGUGUUAUAUAUGCUUUUACAUAUUUUGAAUCAAUUGAGCUUCUUCUUAUGCACCAGAAAAUAAAAAAUGUAAAUAAAACAUAAGGCACAACAGCAUCACCUUCGGUAAGCUUUGAAAUGGAGUUGGAAGAAAUAUUAGUUUGUGACUUAACACUGCCACAAAAUAUUAUUAUUUUACAAAUAUAAAUUAAUGUGGAGAAUGUUGAUUUGUCUUACAAGUGUCCAAAAAAUAAUAAAACUUAUAUCCUCUCAAUAGAGACAUAAACUUUAUAACAAUAUAAAAACUAAAAAAAAUAAAAAAUCCAUGUUUGCUCCCAUUAAUACGUAUAUAGUUGAACAUACAGACUUCGCACGUCUAGUACCACACUUAUAUAUCACUUGAUAUCGAAUGGCCACCUAUACGAAUUAACACUCUCUUAUCUCAUAAUUUCCCCCUUUUUAAAGCAGUUUGAGAUUGAUGUGCUUUAAAAAAAAAUUAUUUUUGUUGUGUUUAAGAAUAAUCAGCUAUAAAAUAAAGUACAAGAGUGUUUGAUAAAUUGUAAGUUUGAAGUGUUGUUGUGAGUAUAAAAAAAAAAUGUAUAGGCGUUUGGUAAAUUUUAAUGUAAAGGUAAUAAAAUUGUAUAUAAUGACAAAAAUGGACAUAGUAGUAGAGGUGGUGGGGGCGAGAGCAGUAGUGAGGGCAGUGGUGGUGGUGGUGGUGGUAGCGAUGGUGGCGUUGGUGGUGAUGGUAGCAUGGUGGGGGUGCCAAUAGUGGGGUGUGGUGGUUGGGGUGCAAAGGUAAUAAUGGUGCUAGCUAGGAGCGGUAGUAGCGGCGGUGAUGACGAUUGUGGUUGUGGUGGCAGUUGCGGUUAUGGUGGUGGUGGUGGGGCGGUGGUUGCUUUGUCAGUCAUAGACUUAAAGCCCUGGAAGCAUAAAUGAUGUCAGUCGUGUCUUGCUUCAAGCAAAAAGACAUCUCUUUGAAGCGCUCUUCCAGAGUGAGCCAUAAAGAUCGUGGAUCCUCUUCAACUAGGUACAUGAUCUACAAGGCAUCACUCAUAUGCCUUCGUAUCAAGAUCAUGGCGGUUUCUUUGUUAGCUUCGCCAACUGGGUUAUCCAUCUUAGUUUCAAUGGUAGCCCUAAGACUAUUUGCAAUGAGAUGGAGCUUCACAUCUUGAACCCACUUCAGGUAGUUUCGUAUAGAGACGUCCACAACGUUAAAGUGGAGUUUGUUCAAAUUUGACAUGUUGCUAUCACAAAAAGGGUACAAGAUUGUGAUUAGUGAAUGGAGAAAAAAAAAUCAUCCAUACAAAAGGAGUAGAACAUUAUGGUUCUAUUAGACAUGUUUUGGUUUAAAUUUUCUUGAAAAACUUAGGUUUCAUGGUUAUAGGGUUUUAAGAAAACUUCAAGUCCAAAUUUUUAUGAACUUCAAGUUCAUGGGUGUCUGCAAACAAACGCAAUAAAUACAGAAUAAUAUGUGUGUAUGUGUGUAACACCUAAAUUGGUGUAGGUCUGCAGGGCCCACAAUUUCACAGAAUUGCAACAAUGAAAAAAAUCGGAUAAGUGAUUCAUGUGGUCAUAAGGUAUUCGGAAGAUAGCCACUAUACUAAAAAAAACUCAAAUUUAAACCUCUGUGGUGUACUCCGUUAGCAAAUUUAAUCCAAAAAUCAUUUUUCCGUUAACUAUCUCUUAAUACAUGGGUAAAAUUGUACUUUGAUGUGUGCACUCUUAUUCGACACCCAGCUGUCGGAUUCAUUAGUGAUUUCUCCGUCAGCAAACUCAUGCAUCUAACCCGACCCCUUCCCUACCACUAUAUAUACCCCGCUCCCCACUCCCCACUCCCUUCACCUCACUCCCACCACAACUCACAAUUUCAUACCCCCAGGAUUUCUCAAUCUACACCUCCUCGAAACACAACAUUUCACCAUGCCUUGCUCUGAUUCCUCCGUUUCCAUAAUUUCGCACAAUUUACCCCGGCGUCGGUUUCGUGCACACCAAAGCCAAGAACCUCUCUCUGGAUGCCGUCCUGCAGCCCAACACCGACGUUCCACAUUGCUUCAGGGAUUUCUUUGUGUAUGAAAGGACUUUGAGCUACUCCGGUCACUUCAGACCUCUAGCCGCCAUACAGGUCACUGAGCUCGCUGACAUCGUGUUCAUCGGAUGUACGGUCAACCAUUCCGUCGUCGACGGCACAUCUUUCUGGCACUUCUUCAACACCCUUGCUAAGAAUAACCGAGGCACCAAGAAAAUCUCAAAAUCUUCUGAUUUUUCCCGCGACACCGUCUUCAACUCGCCGGCGAUGCUCCAUUUCCCAGAAGGCGGCCCUAAGGUCACCUUCUCCUGCAACGAUCCGCUGCAUGAGAGAAUCUUCCAUUUUACUAUAGAAUCAAUUCUCAAACUGAAAAUCAGAGCAAAUAACUUUUGGACUAAAUCACUUUUCGACACGUCAAAGUAUACUGUUACCAUGUAUUAACAGAUAGUUAACGGAAAAAUCAUUUUUGGACUAAAUUUGCUAACCGAGUAUACCACAGGGGUUUUAAUCCGAGUUUUUUUGGCACAUGGAUUAUCUUUCAAAUACCUUAUGACCGCAGGGAUCAUUUAUCCGAUUCGGCCUACUUUUAUUUGUUGCUGGGUUGCAGGCCAACAGAAGAGGCACGUCAAAAAGCCCAAAGCUCAAAACUGGGCUGUUUUGUGUUGGGGUCAACAAGACCAGGCCCAUAAAUGGCCGAAAUAGAAGUAGAGGGUGCACAAGCCUAGAAACUGGGCUAGGUUUUGAUGCGGGCCAAGCAAGGCAAAAGCAGCAAGGGAUAACAUUGGCCCAAGAAUUGGGCUAGGCUGCUGCAGGCAAUCCAGUGGGGCUAGGUGCGGGUAUAGGUGUCACUGGAAAACAGUGUUACCGCAGCCAGCAGCGAUGAUCUUAAGCCAUGGGGAAACCAUGGGUUCAAGAGGAACCUAAGAACGUUGACGGAGGAAGGUUCCUCGACGUCAGAGUCCAAAGGCCAUGGCUUUUCGAAAUCAAAUUUGAAAAUACGGUGAGAUUUUGACAGGAAAUCUCAUCCACACUUGUCGGGGAUGACUAUAGAUCAUCUGGGACGAGGCUUCACCAGAAAUCGAUGAACCAUGGUGCUGGGCUCAGCUGCAGGCGAGGCCCGUGGAUGGGCCAUGUCUAAGGACACGGACGACCCAAAACGGUGUUGUUUUAGUGGUAGCUCGGCUCAAUGGCACAGGCUGCAGAACUUGCGAGUAGUCGGUGCAACUCAAACGGCUCAAAGUCGUAGCUCGCACGACUAGGGUAAAAAAAACCUUUAUUUUUUUCCUUUCUUACACAAUCAUCAAUUUAAUAUAUACAUGAAAAAUAAUGCGAACACAAUUUAAGCAAAAUCUAUAAUUCAGAACGUGUAAAAGUUAGGUUCAUACAUCAUGGUGAAUAUUUUAUGCAAUCAAGGUUGAAAAAACAGAUUCUUUAGUACAACCUCAAGAGCGUACUUGAGAACGCAUUGUGGCCAAUUUACUGAAGUGAGAGAGAGGUGCGGCAAGGAGAGAGAAUAAGGGUUAGAGAAAUUGUAGGAAGUUAUUCCCCUAUAUAUAUGUCAGUGCCUUUAUUUAUAGUAAACCAUAUGAAGAGAGAAAAUUGCUCUCAAAGUAAUAUAAAUCCUAAUAGGAAAGAAUCACUAGAAUAAAGAGUAAUCCUAAACCAAACCAAUAUAGGAUUUACACAAUCACAGUACGUGAAAUAUUAAUUACAACAGUUAUGCAUAAUUUAUCCAUUCUAAUGAGAUGUUUUCCUUUUAUACUUGCAUUAACCGAAUUUUCCAUUACAUAGUAUUUAAACACUAUUUUAUUAAUAAAUAUACUAUGGUUUGAUCUAACAUUCCCUAAAGUUUCAUCUUAAAUUUCUAAUUUUGUAAGCAAAUUUUCAUCAUUUUCAUUGAAAGCAAUUGAUAUUUCUAUUGAUAUUUUCAUAAAUUUGCAUAUUGAUAUUUUCAUUAAAUUAGAGGAGAGUUCACUUCCACUUGCACAUAAAGUACAAUAGUUAGAUCAACCCGUUACUCACACGUCAAGAUAACAGAUUGAUUCAGGUGCCCACAUCGUUCAUAAGUCGUAACUUCACACUGCCACCAAGUCUACCCCAUCCUUUGUUGAAUUCUAGUCUUUUCACAAAGUAUAAACAAUGACCAAUGAAUUGCCGAAUGCCAUGAGAGAAGUGACAAAAGUGGUGGUUCCAAAAGUCACUCGGAAGAUGAAUGCGAAGUUAUUGAAACCUUAUAUGGAAGAGGAAAUUAAGGUGGCUCUAUUUCAAAUGCAUCCUUCCAACUCCAAGUCUCCGGGACUGGACAAGAUGUCUUCACUUUUCUAUCACAAAUUUUGGCAUAUUGUGGGGGCAGAUGUGAUGGAGGCUGUUCGGUCUUUCUUGAUGUCGGGCCAAUUGUUGCGUGAAGCUUGCUUUACGCAUGUCGUACUUAUUCCAAAAGUUGCCGAACCCCAUGAUAUGAUCCAACUAAGGCCAAUUAGUUUAUGCAAUGUUGUGUAUAAGAUUAGGGCGAAAGUAUUAGCUAAUCGGUUCAAAGGGAUUUUGUCUACUAUUAUCUCUCCACAUCAGAAUGCAUUUGUCCUGGGUAGAUUGAUCUCUGAUAAUUCAUUAGUGGCUACAGAGAUUGGUCAUUUUCUCCAUAAUAAGCGAUGUGGUCGAGACGGGUAUUUGGCUUUGAAAUUCGACCUUAGCAAAGCAUACGACAAUGUUGAAUGGAAAUUCCUGGAAACUGUGAUGGUUAGGUUGGGUUUUGCUAGGGAAUGGUUCAGAGUGAUUAUGGUUUGUGUGUCAUUGGUUUCCUAUUCUUUCCCAAUUAAUAGGGAGCCUAAGGGGUAUGUUGUGCCAUCCUGUGGUCUCCGACAAAAGGACCCGAUCUCACCGUAUCUUUUCCUACUAUAUGUGGAGGGUCUUUCGGCUCUCAUUGCCAAAAAGGAGGAGUGUGGCAGGGGUGGGUUCAAAAAACCAAAAACCAAAAAAAUCGAACCAAACACCGAACCGAAACCCAAACAACUGAACUGAAUGAAAAAAUCGAACCAAACCAAAUAAUUAUAUUAAAUUAAUAUUAUUUUAUUUUAUUUUAUUAUUUAAUCUGUUUUGGGUAUUAUCUUCAAAACCUAAUUUCUAAGCCCAGUGUUCCCAAAAUUUUAAGCUCAUAUAUUAUUAGAAAAAGCCUUUUAACAACUAAAUCGUAACAUAUCUUCUCUCACUUUGUUCUUUCUUUCACCCCAGCUACACCACUUCUCUCCAUGUUCUUUCUUUUUCCUUUCCCCUUCCUCCAUCUCCAUUAUUCACUCCCUCUUCCCUCUUCUUUUUUUCUUUUUUUGUCCCCAGCCGGAUCUUUCCUCUCUCCCUCAUCCACGACAAUGCUUGUCUUUCUAUCUCCCCCGUAAAUCCUCUAUUGCGUUUUCUGAUCUCUCUCACUCUCUCUCUACUAAGAAUCUUCCGGGGUUGCCAAGAAUCCAUACUCGCCGGCAGUCACAACAACUCUUCUGAGUCCAACUUUCAGAGGGGUAAGAGAUAUUUUGUUUGAAAUUUGAACCCAAGAUCUAUGUGAUGAUGUGAAUGAAUUUUAUAAAUUUCUCUGAGAUUUGUAUCUUUGUAAGUUUCUGAAUGAAUUUUGUGAUGGGUUUGUGAAUUGGUGUGAGUUUUUUCUGAAUGGAUUUUGUGAUGGGUUUGUUGAAAUAAGAUAGGAGUUGGACAAAAAAGAAUUCUCUAUAGCUUUGGUUUUGUAUUUGCAGAUAAUUAAUUGUAUGCAAAAGUGAGCACACUAGCCCUCCACCUCCAUCCUCCAAUGCCUCUAAUUAGAGUGAAAUUUGGUUUUUAUUUAUUAAAUUUAUUGUACCUGGCUUUUUUUAUUCUUUGUACUAGUUAAGAAUUCUUCUUAUGGAGUUUUUUAAUUAAUUUUUUUUCAUUUUGGUCUUAGCUUUCAAUAUUUUUGUUGCUGGUUUGUUGUGCACUUGCAGCCUUGGCUGUGAAGGUAAAAAUAAUUGAUUUAUAUCUUUUUAUCUUUUUCUAUAAUUUUUUUCACAGCAAAAACAAAGGAAAGAGGACAAUAGCAGGUUGUUGCUGGUGUUCUUCCAAAUUAAAUUGAGUAUGUAAGAAGAAUCGCCCACAUAUCAAUUUAAGAAUUAAAAUAUAAAAAAACAGUGAAAAAUCGAAGCCGAAUUGAAACCGAACCCAAAAAACCAAAACGAAAAUUAAACCAACAACAACAACAACAACAAAGCCUUUUCCCACUAAGUGGGGUCGGCUAAAACGAAAAUUAAACCAAACAAAAAAAAAAACCAAACCGAGCCGAACAAUAACUUCAGUUCAGUUAUCGAUUUUGGCAAAAAACCAAACCGAUCAGAAUCGAACCCACCUCUACAGUGUGGGGCUCUUAGUGGUAUUCGUAUUUUUGAGGGUGCUCCAAAUAUUCAUCACUUACUCUUUGCUGAUGAUAGCUUUUUAUUCAGGAAAACGAGUCUUGAUGAUUGUGUGGUUAUUCAACAUAUAUUGGAUGUAUACUCUUAAGCGUCGGGGCAGACGGUAAAUUUUUCAAAGAGUAGUGUUGCUUUCAGUGCAAAUGUUGGGUCGAGGGAGCAAGCUUCUAUAGCUGGGUUUCUUGGUGUUCAAGUGGUGGAGCAGCAUGAACGCUACUUGGGGCAGCCCACCUUUGUGGGGAAAAAAUAAGAAACAAACAUUUUCCUACAUUAAGAAACGAGUCCUGAAUAGGCUAUGUGGGUGGAGAGAAAAAUGUUUGAGUAGUGCGGGGCGUGAGCUUCUUAUUAAAGUGGUUGCUCAGGCUCUUCCGGCAUAUGCUAUGAAUUGUUUCUUGCUUCCCAAGACCUUUUGUGAUGAUCUUCAUAAGUUGAUGGCUCGGUUUUGGUUGGGUAGUGAUUCAAAUGGGAGGAAGAUACAUUGGUGGUCUUGGGAAAAGCUUUGCAAACUGAAGGAGGGGGGAAUAGGCUUUCGGGACUUAUUUGCAUUUAAUCUAGCAGUUUUGGCUAAGCAGAGGUGGCGUAUUUUCCAGCAACCUGGUUCUUUGGUGGCUCAACUUUUCAAGGCUCAUUAUUUUCCCACAAUUUCUUUUUGGGAGGCACCUAUUCCGAAGAGCUAUUCGUAUUGCUGGUCUAGUAUUUUAAAGGCUCGGAAGGUGUUGGUCCGUGGUUCCAUAUGGGUUGUUGGGAAUGGUGCGUCUAUUAAGGUGUGGAAGGAUAGAUGGCUACUAAGACCUCACUCUUUCAAAGUCUUGUCUAUUACUGCUACUGAUCAGGUGGAUGUGUGUGUCCAUGAGCUAAUUGAUACGGAUUCUUGCUCGUGGAAAUUGGAUGAGUUACAUGAUUUGUUUUUGAAUGAGGAUGUGAGUGAGGAUGUGAGUUUGAUUAGUACUAUGCCGAUAGUUUUCACUUACCGCCGAAUCAGUUAGUGUGGCAUUAUAAUGCUCAGGGUGAAUAUACUGUUAGCAGUGACUAUCUGGUGGCUAGGGAGUUAGUGCAAUCUCACAUGGCGGGUGGGUCUACGUCGGAAGGGAGCAAUGUUGUUUCAUCUCUCUAGAAGUCCAUAUAGAAGGCUAAGAUUCCUCCUAAGGUGAAAAUUUUUACGUGGAAACUUAGUCAGGACAUUAUUCCGAUUAAAUUUAAUCUUGCUAGGAAGGGGUGUACCUUGAUAUGGAGUGUGGGGCUCGUUCAGGUCAUCUUGAAACGGAUGGGCAUGUGUUCCAGAAGUGUGUGUUUGAGAAGGCUGUGUGGUUAAGGUCUUUGUUGAGGGCUUGUAUAUUACCGAAACCGGGAGCGUUGAUGCGAAAGUGGCUCCUUUCAGUAGUUGAGAAUCAAAAAGUAAGUUUGAUCUUGUUUGCAUGGUUCUUUGGGGUUUGUGGCAUGCUCGUAACUCCCUAAUAUGGGAUGGGCAACGUGGACAACCUAUGGAGGUAGGGCAUAAGGUGGUAUGCUGGUAUCAGACAUUUUUGGUAUCCCAUGAAGUGCAGAGGGUCUCCAGGCCAGUUCAUCGACUCAAAUGGUUAACCCCCUCUGAUGGAUGGGUCAAAAUCAAUGUUGAUGGGGCCACACGGUUGGAGCAUUUUUCUAGGGGAGUAGGAGCUGUAUUGAAGGAUGGGACAGGGACGUUUUUAGCAGCGGCAGCUUGGAGGAAGGAGGGUAUUGGGUUUGCACUUCAUGUGAAGUUUAAGGCAGUUUUGGAGGGCCUUCGGUUGGCAGAGAGGUUACAGGUUCGACGGGUUAUUGUGGAGAGUGAUUCCACUCUCGCUAUUGCUACUAUCAAUAACUACUCUCGGAAUUUGUCCAAGUUUGGUCUGCUAGUGGAGGAUGUCAGGGAAGUGGCGGAGUUGCUUUCCUCAGUCUAGUUUGUGCACGUGCUAAGAACAUGUAAUAGGGAUGCCCAUAGAUUAGCUAAGUUUGCCAUUUCAAUUGGCAAUGAAUUUGUAUGGUUAGAGGACCUUCCUAAUCUCAUUCAGGACCUCCUCAGCCAGGAUCUGAUGUGGUGCAUUUGUUUUCAAUAAAAUAUCGAGUUUUCUUUAAGAAAAAAAAAUUCUAAAGACUUCAUUCCAUGUAGUGCCAAAUCAUUUGUUCUUGACCUAUAUAGAUCAAUAUAGGAAAUGACCAAGAUGAUAUUAGGAACAACAAAUAACAAACAAUGAAAUGGAAUGACGUCCAUCCACAUUAUUAGAGGGAAAAAAUCAUAUUUAAUUGCGUAUUCUUCAUUUUUAACAUAAACACUUGACAUGGCGUUAUCAUGGUGAUAUCAGCUUUGCCAUUAAAAUAGGGUAUUCUACCAUAAGCAAUACUCAUCUCAUAAAUGAUAGUUGUUGAAUAAAUUAAAAAGAGGCGAUUGUCUCAAGGAACCACCCUAGAAAAUACAAAGCUGAUCAAAGCAUGCUAUAUGUUUUCAGAUAGUCAAAGCGAAGAAAAUUUCAUUGCAUUAUUGCCUCUAAAAAGAAUGUUUGGGUGCACAAAAUGAUUAAAAGUGGGGUAAAUUACACUUUCAUAUCUCAGGUUUGGGAUCUAUUUCAAUUCUUUAUAACAUCUUUAAAACAUUUCACUUUCAUAACUUAAGUACUAUUUUAUUUCAAAAUAAUACAUCUGUUACAUUUUCCAUCCAUUGAUCUGUUAAAUGUUGACAUGGCUGUCACGUAUAUGCCACGUGGCUGCUAAAUGUCUGCCACGUGGCAAAUAAAAUAAUUUUUUUAAUUUUUUUUUAAAACCUGAAUUUUCUCAAAAAAAAAAAAAAUUGAAACCCACAUUUGCAAGAAGAAGAAGAAGAAGAAGAAGAGGGAGGAAGAAAGAAAAAGAAAAAAAAAAGUCCCUCCUCCCCCCAAUGACCCAGAAGAAGAAGAAGGAGGAGGAGGAAGAAAAUAAAAUAAAAAAAUAGAAACCCACAUCUGCAAGAAGAAGAAGAGGAGGAGGAGGAGGAGGAAGAGAGGAAGAAAGAGAAGAAGAGGAGGAGGAGGAGGAGGAGGAGGAGGAGGAGGAGGAGGAGAAGAAGAGAGGAGGAGGAGGAGAGGAGGAGGAGGAGGAGGAGGAGGACGAAGAAGAAGAGAAGAAGAAGAAGAGGAGAGAGAAGAGGAAGAGGAAGAAGAGGGAAGAGGAGGAGGAGAGGAGGACAGGGAACGAGGAAGGACGGAGAGAAGACAGAGAAGAGGAAGAAGGAAGAAGAAGAAGAAGAAGAAGAAGAAGAAAGAAGAAGAAGAAGAAGAGAAGAAGAAGGAGAAAGAAGAAGAAGAAGAAGAAGAAGAAGAAGAAGAAGAGAAGAAGAAGAAGAAGAAGAAGAAGAAGAAGAGGAGGAGGAGGAGGAGGAGGAGGAAGAAGAAGAAGAAGAAGGAGGAGGAGGAGGAGGAGAGGAGGAGGAGGAGGAGGAGGAGGACGAACGAAGAAGAAGAAGAAGAAGAGGAAGAAGAGGGAGAGGAAGGAGGAGGGAGAGAGGAGAGGAGGAGGACGAAGAAGAAGAAGGAGAGAAGAAGAGAGAGGAGGAGGAGGAGGAGGAGGAGGGAGGAGGAGGAUGAGAAGAAGAAGAAGAAAAAGAAGAAGAGAAUGAGGAUGAGGAGGAGGAGGACGAGGACGAGUGAGGACGAGGAGGAGGGAGGAGGACGAGGGAGGACGAAGAAGAAGAGAAGAAAGAAAGAGGGAAGAAGAGGGAGAGAGGAGGAAGGAGAGGAGAGAGGAGGAGGACGAGGACGACGAAGAAGAAGAAGAAGAAGAAGAGGAAUGAGGAGGAUGGGAGGAGAGGAGAAGAAGAAGAAGAAAAGAAGAAGAAGAGAGGAGGAGGAGAGGAGGGAGGAGGAGGAGAAGGAAGAAGAAGAGGAAGAAGGAGGAGAGGAGAGGAGAGAGGAGAAGAGAGGAGGAGGAGGAGGAGAGGAGGAGGAGGAGAAAAGAAGAAAAGAAGAAGAGAGAGAGGAGGAGGAGGAGGAGGAAGGAGGAGGAGGAGGAGGAGGAGGAGGGAAGGAACGAAGAAGAAGAAGAGAAGAAGAGAAGAAGAAGAAGAGAGAAGAAGAGGAGGAGGAGGAGGAGGAGGACGAGGACGAGGAAGGAGGAGGAAGAAGGCAGAAGAAGAGGAGAAGAAGAGAGGAGGAGGAAGAGGAGGGAGGAGGGAGAGAAGGAGGACGAGGAGGAGGAGGACGAAGAAGAAGAAGAAGAAGAAGAAGAAGAAGAAGAAGAAGAAGGAAGAAGGAGGAGAAAGAAGAAGAGGAAGGAGGAGGAAGAGGAGAGGAGGAGGAUGAGGAGGAGAAGGGAGGAGGAGAGGAGAGGAGGAGGAAAGAAGGAGGCACGAGGAGAGAGGAGAAGAAGAAGAAGAAGAGAGGAGGAGGAGAGAGAAAGAAGACGAAGAAGAAGAAGAGGAGGGAAGGUGAGUGAGAGAGGGAGGAGGAGAGGAGGAGGAGGAGAAGAAAAGAAGAAGAGGAGAGGAGGAAGAGGAGGAGGAGGAGGAGGAGGAGAGGAGGGAAGAAGAAGAAGGAAGAAGAAGAGAAGAAGAAAAGAAGAAGAGGAGGAGAGGAGGAGGAGGAGGAGGGAGGACGAGGACGAGGAAGAGGACGAGGGAGGACAAAGAAGAAGAAGAAGAAGAAGAAGAAGAAGAGGAGGUGGAGGACGAAGAAGAAGAAGAAGAAGAAGAAGAAGAAGAAGAAGAAGAGGAGGUGGAGGAUGAGACGAAGAAGAAGGAAGAAGAAGAAGAAGAAGAAGAAGAAGAAGAGAAGAAGAAAGAGAGGAGGAGAGACGAGGAGGAGGAGGACGAAGAAGAAGAAGAAGAAGAAGAAGAAGAAGAAGAAGAAGAGGAGGAGGACGAGGACGAAGAGGACGAGGACGAGGACGAGGACAAGGAGGACGAGGACGAGGACGAGGAGGAGGAGGAGGACGAGGAGGAGGACGAGGAGGACGAGGAGGAGGACGAAGAAGAAGAAGAAAAAGAAGAAGAAAAGGAGGAGGAGGAGGAGGAGGAGCAGAAAAGAUGUUUCUGGGCUAAAAGCUAAAUUUUCCGGGCUAAAAAAUUUGGCUUUUAGCCCAGGGUUGGAGAUGGUCUUAGAGCAAUUCCAUCUCUAAAGACUUUGCGCUAGCAUCUAACAUAUUUAUCCACUCAAGUGAACAAUAAUAGAUCCCUAAAAAAUGCGUUGGCACCCAAUCCAUUUAAAAUAUUUUAUAUUUUUUUAAAAGAAGAAAUAAAAAAAAUAGUUUUAUUUUCGGAUAAGAUUUUUAACCAAUUUCGGAUAAAAUUUCAAAUAAACUUAAAAAAAACACACUAAAAUAAAAUUACAUAAUUUUUAAGGUGGAAGAUGAGGGUUAGGUAUUUAUAGAAAAAAAUAACGUUUUAAAAAAAAUCUGUAUUUUUUAGAUAAUUUUUAAUAAAUUUUAAUAUAGUUAAUUAAUCUGUAUCGUUGGAUUUGAAAAAUAUUCAAAUCCAAGAGCCAAGGUGUUGCCACCUGGCCAACAGUCAUAAUUCUGACCGUUGGGCUUUUUUUAUUUUUUUUAUUUUUAUUUUUGGUGAAAAAAACGUAGACUGUUGAUCUGUGAUUGGACGGUCCAUUUUAAAAAUCAAAUUUAAAUUUUUUUUACCGUUGGAAAUCCAACAGUAUACAAAAACUAGCCGUUGGAAAUCCAACGGCAUUGAGAGGGUCACGUCGCCUCCUUACGGGUGAAGCACAAGUGGGUUGACAACAGGCCCUGCUGCCUACACCUUUGUCCCCUACUCGCGCCCACUCGCGAGUAAGCUACAAGUGCCAGGCAAAUACCUUGGCUCCAUGGUCAGUCAAUUUUUGGCUAACCCAGAGACCAGCUUGGGCUGGGUGCCAGGCAAAUUGUUGGGCUGGAGUGAAUUGACAAGGUGCCAGCCUGGUUUUUUGACUGGGUGCUGGGCUAUUCCACCUCCGGUGGAACUGCUCUUAAAGAAAACUCUGGAAAAAAAACAUGAAAGUAUUUCUCUCUAUCCUCUUACUUGCUUUAUCCCCCAACCCUGAGAACUAGCUGCUUAGAACCGUCAUCUUCCAUCACUAGCAACAAGCUACAAACAAAAAAGAGAAAAACAAGUCUUCUAUACCUUCCUACAUGACUCACACCCCAACAUUUAACCCUUGAGAUCCAGCUGCUUAGAAUCGUCUUCUUCCAACUCCGACACCAAGCUACAAACAAAAAAGAGAAAACAAUGCAUUCUCCUUGUUCCUACGUAAUUCUCAUUGCAACCUUCUCGCCAGAAAUAAAGCUUAUUACUAUCAUUUCAAUCGGUGACAACCCGAACAACACCGGAAACAACACUGCAAUCGGUGACAAUCGAACAACAAUGGCGGCGGUGGCAAUGACCCAAACAAUAAUGGGUGCAACAGGAAGAGCCUAAACAAUAAUGGCGACAACAGCAACAACUUGAAAAAUAAUGCUAGCAACGCUAACAACCUAAACAACAAUGACAGUUGUGCCAACAUCCUGAACAACAACGGGGGGCAGCGGUAACAACCCAAAAAAAAAUAGGGGCGGCGGCAAUAACCUAAACAACAAUAAAGACGUUAACAACGGCAAUGUUGGCCUCAACCAUUUCUCCCAUGAAACUUUCCCUUAAAGCAUUGGAAAUUAACGUCUUUUUUUGCAGUGGUUGACUUGAUGUGGACUAUUAUACUUAACCCGGACAUUCGUCAAGGUGGUUGGACACGAAGUUAGACACUGUUACUAUUUUUCGGAUUGCGCAGUGCAGGUUGAGGAUUUGGUACCUUUGUUUGUGCGAAACUCAUUGGAAAACUCUCAUCCUGAGUUGAGUUGGUUUGAUUUGGGAAAGAACCCCAACAAAAAGAUGAUUACAAGGAUCAUCAAGGACAAGGAGUGAAAGUGCAAAUCAAGUUAUUUCUACACAUUCAUGGCUGUCUGCAACGUGUCUAUGUUGAUCAUAUGGUGGGGAUUGUUGAUCAUGACUUGUGAACUCUCACAGGUUGCCCCCUAUGUGUGGGUUACAUUCUGAGUUGUAUGGGUGAUAUAUUGUUUGUUCACAAGGAGGUUGUAUCCUGGAAAGCAAAGUUUGUGGAGAUGACUUCAAAUUGGUUACAUUGCGCUCCUCAUUCACUUUUUGUUUGUGGAUAUGGUUUCAAAAUGGAAAAGUUGGGAAUGUCAUGCCAAAAAAAUAUGGCAAGAUGAGUGUAAAUCUUUCCAGUUCAGUGUAGCCAAUUUGAAACCACAUACACAAACUUUGCAUUCUGGGGUAUAACCUCCUUGUAGACAGAUAAUAUGCUACCCAUACAACCCAGAGUGUAGCUCACACAGAGGAGGUAACCUUUGGUAGUUCAUAAGUCAUGAUCAACAAUCUCCAUUGUAUGAUCAACAUGGAUACAUUGUAAAAAGCCAUGAAUAUGUAGAAAUAACUUGAUUUGCACUCGCACUCUUCGUCCUUGAUGAUUCUUGUAAUCCACUUUUUGUUAGGAUUCUUUCCAGAAACAAACCACCUCAACUCGGGACGAGAGUUUUCCAACUACGGGUAUCGCAAGGACGGAGGUACCAAAUCCUUAAACUGCAGUGCACAAUCCGAAAAAUAGUCACAUUGUCCAACUUCGUGUUCGACCACCUUGACAAAUAUGUCCGUGUUAAGUGUAAUAAUCCACAUCAAGGUAGCCAUUGCAAGAAAAACGUUGAUUUCUAAGGGAAAGUUUCAUGGGAGAAAUGGUUGCGGCCGCCGUUGUUGUUAGCGUCGUCGUUAUUGUUGUUUGAGUUGUUGACGUUGCCAUUGUUGUUCAGGUUGUUGUUGUUGUCCCCAUUGUUUUUUGGGUUGUUGGUGCGACUGCCAUUGCUGUUCAGGUUGUAGUCGUUGCUAACAUUGUUGUUUAGGUUGUUCCCGAUGCCCUAAUUAUUGUUUGGGUCAUUGUUGUUCGGUUAUCAUCAAUUGCAGUGUUAUUUUUUGUGUUGUUCGGGUUGUCACCUAUUGAAGUGAUAGUAAUAAGCUCUAUUUCUGGCGAGGAAGUUGUAGUAGGAGUCAUGUAGGAACAAGGAGAAAGCAUUGUUUUCUCUUUUUUUUUUUUUGUAGCUUGGUGUCGAUAGUGGAAGAUAACAAUUCCAAGCAGUUGGAUCUCAAGGGUUAAAUGUUGGGGUGAGAGUCAUAUAGGAAGACGUCGAUUUCUCUUUUUUGUUUGUAGCGAGUUGCUAGUGGUGGAAGAUGACGGUGUAGACAUCGAAAUUUCGGUAAAUAAAUGUUGACCGAUAAAUCAAAGUGUCAACGCUCAUGUAUUACAUAAAUUUUACACGUAGCGUGUGACUCAACGAAAAUUGAAAUAAGUUGGAAAAGUCAUCAAAUAGGACACGUGUCAACACCUGGCAGAAACGACUUAUUUCAUCUGGAAUAUUAUAUUCAAAAUUAGGCCUUGGAAAAUUCUAUAAAUACAAGCCCAUUUCAUUCAUUUGAAGAAACCAAUUCAUAUUACACCUUGAAGCUCUGAAGCUCUGAAACUCCGAAGCUCUCAAGCAUCCAAGUUCCCGAAGAAUCAAGAAAGUGUUCUUCGUUCUUCGUUCUUCGUUCAUCGUUCUUCCAAGAUCAAGCCCCAACGGCCCUUGGAUCAACAAUCAUCCACCAAUUCAUAUUACACCUUGAAGCUCUGAAGCUCUGAAACUCCGAAGCUCUCAAGCAUCCAGGUUCCCGAAGAAUCAAGAAAGUGUUCUUCGUUCUUCGUUCAUCGUUCUUCCAAGAUCAAGCCCCAACGGCCCUUGGAUCAACAAUCAUCCACUUGAAGCUCUGAAGCUCUGAAACUCCGAAGCUCUCAAGCAUCCAGGUUCCCGAAGAAUCAAGAAAGUGUUCUUCGUUCUUCGUUCAUCGUUCUUCCAAGAUCAAGCCCCAACGGCCCUUGGAUCAACAAUCAUCCACCAAUUCAUAUUACACCUUGAAGCUCUGAAGCUCUGAAACUCCGAAGCUCUCAAGCAUCUAGGUUCCCGAAGAAUCAAGAAAGUAUUCUUCGUUCUUCGUUCAUCGUUCUUCCAAGAUCAAGCCCCAACGGCCCUUGGAUCAACAAUCAUCCACCUUCAAGAUCAACCCCCGACGGCCCUUGAAGAAAGCGUUCUUCGUUCUUCCUUCAUCGUUCUUCCAAGAUCAAGCCCCAACGGCCCUUUGGAUCAACAAUCAUCCACCAAUUCAAGAUCAAGCCCCGACGGCCCUUGAAGAAAGCACCAUCGUUCAUCAUCGUUCUUCCAAGAUCAAGCCCCAACGGCCCUUUGGAUCAACAAACGUCGACAAAUCCACACAUCCAACCGUUCUUCAAGAUUAAGCCCAAAAGCCCUUGAAGAUCUGUUCAUCACUGUUUCUUCAAGAUCAAGCCCAAAAGCCCUUGAAGAUCCGCUCAAAUCCACCUUCAAAGAUCAAGCCCACGGCCAUUUGAAGAAACUUCCAACAGUUCAUCCAAGAUCAAGCCCCGACGGCCCUUGGAUCAACGAAACAUCCCCAAAUCAACAUCUUACGGAGAUCGAAUCAGAGGAUCAAAAUAGAGAGAGAUUGUAACCCAAAAUAAUCAUCAAAUACAAAUAUUUGUUUGUGCACGUUCGUUCUUGUCUCUUUCGUUUCAGGAAUUUUCCGUGUUCACAAAUUGGCACGCCCAGUGGGACAAUCUCUGCCUCUCAUCUCUUUCUCCGUUCAAGAAAAUCAAAACACACUUCCAAAAUUAAUGGCAUCAAGGAAGGCUCAAACUGCUCCCGCAACUGGUGUCAAUUUGGGCAUCACGACUCGAAGCAUGGCAAGAGCUACUUCUGCCGCCUUUUUCACCUCUGCAUCAACUCUGCCAAGGGAACAAAAGCACCCAAGGCACGAGCCUUUGAUCACCUUAGCCUUACUAAGGGCACCAAGGGGGGAAAGCCCAAGGAAAUACUCUGAAUCCAUGCUCUCCGAUGCCGAUUCAAGCGACAGUUCAGCCAUGCAAGUCAUGACCAUUGGAGCAACCUCAAUCGAUGAGCAGCUGGCUCAAAUGAAUGAAGCAAUCGCAAGGCUAACCCGAACUGUGGAAGAAAAAGACUUGCAAAUUGCAGCACUAGUCAACCGACUGGAGGCGCAGGAUGGCGAUAAACCCGACCCAGAGGAUGAUCCACUAAAGGGAGGAGCUGGCGGAGACGAAGAACCCCCGGUGAAGAAAAUCGAUGGGAAGCCGGAGCCAGACCAAGCAGCGGCACUCAUGGGAUCUCUUUCUAUCCAGCAGCUGCAGGAGAUGAUCACCAGCACCAUCAAGGCACAGUACGAAGGGAGCUCACAUACCUCCUUGUUCUACUCGAAGCCCUAUUCCAAGAAGAUUGAUGCCCUAAGGAUGCCAAGGGGUUAUCAACCACCAAAGUUCAUGCAGUUUGAUGGAAAAGGAAACCCAAAGCAGCACGUUGCACAUUUCGUCGAAACUUGCAACAACGCAGGGACGGAGGGAGACUACCUCGCUAAGCAGUUUGUGCGCUCGCUGAAAGGAAAUGCCUUUGAGUGGUACACGGACUUAGAGCCUGAGUUCAUCAACAGCUGGGAGCAAUUGGAGCGGGAAUUCCUCAACCGCUUCUACAGCACCCGCCGCACUGUGAGCAUGCUAGAGCUAACGAGCACAAAACAGUGGAAGGACGAGCCAGUCAUUGACUACAUCAACAGAUGGCGCACUCUAAGCCUCGACUGUAAAGACAGGCUCUCGGAAACCUCUUCAAUCGAGAUGUGCAUCCAAGGCAUGCAAUGGGGUUUGCAAUACAUCCUUCAAGGCAUUAAACCACGGACUUUCGAGGAAUUGGCCACUCGCGCCCAUGACAUGGAGUUGAGCAUCGCCCAUCAUGGGAAGAAAGAACCGAUAGCCGACUACAAGAACGACAAAGUUCUUGGGACAAAGGUGGAAAAGGUUGCAUGGAAACCCACCAAGGAAGCGAUGACGGUCAACACAGCUCCCGUCAAAAUCCCUACACGAGGCAAGGCGAUUCAAGCCGAAGGCUUUCGUGAUCAAGAGAUGCGUAGACACACUUUGAAGGAGCUUGAGGAGAAAACUUAUCCAUUCCCCGACUCUGAUGUGGUUGCCAUGUUAGAAGACUUGCUGGAAAAGAAGGUGAUCGGCUUGCCUGAGUGCAGACGGCCAAAAGAGAUGAAUCGCACUGACAAUCCAAGGUACUGUAAAUUCCACCGCUUCAUCAGUCAUCCGACAGAAAAAUGUUUCGUGCUGAAAGAUCUCAUCAUGAAGCUGGCUCAGAAAGGAAUCAUCGAGCUAGAUCUCGACGAUGUGGUGAACACAAACUAUACCGCCUUCACUUCUGGCUCUUCCGACUCGAAGUUUUCACCUCAACCGCUGGGGGCAUCCUCUAAAACAAGCAAAAUUGAAGGAUGGACUCAAGUCACUCCUAAGAAAUUGCACAAGAAGCAUACGUCUCCUCCACAAGUCCGCCAAUCGGAAAAGGGGCAAAGCAGCUCUUGUCAACCUUCAAAGCAACGUGAACGUGUUGAAGAUGAUGAAAUUUCGACACAUAGACCGUCCAUCCCCAUCACGAUGCGCGACUUCUUACCCGAAAACUUCUUCAAACACGCGGUCAAAGCUCCUUGCUAUGAAGAUUGCGAGGAACGACUCUCUCGGAUCGCUUGACGAACCAACCAAUGCUCCUUGUUCGCACGAGCCUAAAACUGCACGAACCAAAGCUCCUGGUCUGCACGAGCAUAAAAGGCAACACCAACGCUCCUGGUCUGCACGAGCAUAAAAGGCAACACCAACGCUCCUGGUCUGCACGAGCCUAAAAGACGACAACCCAAAGCUCCUUGCCUGCACGAGCUGAAACUGCAACACGGCACCAAAUGCUCCUUGUCUGCACGAGUUGAAACUGCAAACGACACCAACACUCCUUGCCUGCAUGAGUUAAAAUUGCAAACGGCACAAAAAGAAAAUACCAAAAAAAAAAAUGUAUGUAUUUGAACUACGUUACGACUUGAUCUUUUCUUUGGAGGGGUACGUAGGCAGCUCGAAUAUUCAAAAUUUGAGUUCAGUCACACCAAAAUAAGGAAUAAAGAUUUAAUUAAAAGUUUUGAUGCUAUUACAAUUUCUUUGUACAAAAAAAAAAAAAAAAAAAAAAAAGGAGAUACAUGUUUUAUGUAUUAAAAAAAAAACAUGUGUUUUAUGUAUAUAUAUAUGUAAAUGUGAAGCGGUUGCUAUCAUUUGCAUUGCUGAUUGAGCUUCACGUGAAGGAGCACAGUACCAUCAUCAUCCCAGCAGCUCGCUUUCUCUUCAGCCCAUAAACUCCCUCAAUCCACAGGCCCAGGUCUCCCUUCAAUUUCACAGGCCCAGAUGCCAAGAGCCCAUCAAGCAGCGGGCCUCUUCCUCUCCCUCAACCUGAUAAGCCAUCUUUCCAAAACCAAUGAGCCCAGCUACAAUUACAGGCCCAAACUCCAGCUUGUCUUCUUCAGCCCCGCGAGGAAAAUCUGCAGUGCUAGGGUUUCUGAACCACUCCGAGCUCGUUCGGAGACGGAAUUCGUGUCCAGAAGCCGCUCCGUACGAUUCUCUUAGCCCUCUACCUUCCCGAAGGUGAAAAGAGGCUGGAUGAAAAGGGUUCAACAAGAGUGGAGCAUCUUCGAGAAAGAUCUACCUGAACAAAUCUAUGUCCGCGCCUUCGAGGAAAGGAUGGAUCAAAGCAAGCAACAAGGCCAGUCCGAUUCGCCGAAUCUGUCACCGUUCGUCGACCCACAGAGCCAUACCCAGCACAUCCCGAAGAUCGAGGACUUUCUCGGCGAUUCGUCAUCAAUGGUGCGCUAUUCCGAUAGCCAAACAGAGACCCAAGACUCAUCGUCCCUGACCCACAUGUACGACCAGAGCUCCACCUACUUCGGCGGCGACCACCAACAGCAGGAAGAUCGCAAGGCGAUUACCGGGUUCCAAGCUUUUUCGACCAACUCGGGCUCGGAGGUGGAGGACUCCGCGUCCAUGGCCCGGACGACUCAGCAUCAGCAGCAGCUCGCUUGCGCCGAGUUCGAGGGUCAUUCCAUUGAGUCGAACGGGAACGAGUUAGGGGUCUACAACUCCAACUGCACGACGAAUGCUUUGUCGCUUGGAGUCACCACCACUCAAAGCUCUUCCGAUCAGAAGAAUGCCAUUAUCGCCGUCGACAACGACGGCUCAAAGAAGAUUGCUGAUACUUUUGGUCAGAGGACUUCGAUUUACAGAGGGGUCACCAGAUUUAUUACAAGCUGACAAAAAGCAAACCCGAAACGUCUAUUAGUCAGAUACAAAUACAUGGCUCCAGCGAGCAAUUGGUUGUCCUUCUCUCUCAUGUCUCCCAUGGAAAUGCUGAGGUCCUCUGAGUCCGAUCAAUCUCUUGCGGGAUCUCGACCUUUAACCCGGUCCGAUCCUCAUAGAUCUGAAAUUGCCAUGACUCUCGUGGAUCUCUCCUCCCUUUCCCUUCGUCUCUGUAGAAAUUUGGGGCACCCAAAUUCGGUCUCUCCCUCUUCAUCCGCCGCUGCCAACCUAGGCAGAGCAGAGAGCGACGCCGCCUUCAACCUCUAACUUCCCGUCUCCGCCUUCUUCGUCCAAAGCAAGCACCAUCGACUGCAGUCCGACAAAUCGCUUGCGGCCAAAGCUAUUCGAGCCUCGUCGGCGCAUCGCGACUCCUCUCUCUCCUUCUACCGAGACCUGCUCCUCCUCUUCAACAAUGUCGUCGUCUUCUUCCCCAAAUCCUCCAUCGGGUCAAGGACUGCUCACCAACUCCGCCGCCUCGUCUUGAAUGAAAUGAAGAAGAAGAAUCUCAUCACUCGAUGCCAACCUUGAGCCUCGCCGUGCAUUCUUUCGAUUCCAAAAUCUCGUCCCCAUCAACGCCGUCACUUCUGAAGAUUCCGACGGUGAUGGUGCCACCAAAGGCUCUGUCUCUUUCACUGCAGCUACAACUUCACUUGACGAUAAAGAAGAUGCGACUUUGGGAGUUAGAUACUGUCUUCCUCCGCCAUGGCUCAUGCACAGCUCGGUCCUCACUCCACCCAAACCCGACCUGCUGCACAUGGUGCGCACACCCGGAGCCAGUUGGGCUGCGCUCUCGGCAUCGACUCCUUCUACCGCAGCGCCUGGCCUCCCUCGAGCUCGUCACCCUACAGCCCUCUCCGUCUUCGUCCUUCCCUGCAAGUUCCCAUCACCAGAAUUUAUAUAAAUAUAUAUAUAAUAAAAAAAUAAAAAAAACAACAUAGUGGAGCAAAGUGGUGCUGGCACCACGUGAUUAAAGGCAAAAAAAUAUAAAUGUUUGAUCUUUGGUGCGUCUGGCACCAUGAUUAAAGAAAAAAAAAAAAAAAAAGUUUUAUCUUUGGUGCUCUGGCACCAUGUGCAAAUAAAAAAAAUAAUAAUAAUAAUAAAUAAAAAAAAAAUAAAGGGGAUGGUUGUACAGCGCCAAAAGAAAAAGAAAUAAUAUAUAUAGAUAUAUAUAUAUAUAUAUAUGUACAUAAUAUAUAUAUAGCAAAAAAAAAAAAAAAAAAAAAAUUGCAUUGAGAGAAAUAAAGUCCAUUUUAUUUAUUUUUCUGGAAAUUUUACAUAAAUUUGCAUUAUACAUACCUUAAAAAAAAAAUAAAAAAAAAUCAAAUCAAAUUUACAAGAGGGGAUCUUCAAGGACGAUCAGGUGGCGCCUCACAACUCGGCGGAGCUCCAGGAAGAGGAGGCGCCGGAGGUUGACUGUUUGAAGCCUCAGCAGUCGGCAGAGCCCCAGAAGACGAAGGCAAAUGCUGCUGGAACAGACCCACAAACCGCUGAUGAUCAAGUAAAAUCUGACCAUCAGAUUCCUGCAUCUGGUCAAUUUUCCUCUUCAUGUUUGUGGCAUAGUUGUGUGCGAGCUUAUGCAACUGUUUAUUCUCCUGCUUGAGCCCUCUAAUCUCCUGUUUGAGACUCGUCACUUCAGCCGCCAAUGAUUCAACUUGACGGGUUCGCAAAUAGGCGUUGGGCCAUAUUAGACACAGAACCUGCACACUGCACACUAAGAGCCAGAGAAUCCUUAACAGCCAACUCAUCAGACCGUUUGGAAAGUAGUCUGUUAUCUCUGGGAGUGACAAGGUUUCGGGCCACCACCGCAGCGGUCAUAUCAUUUUUCAUCACCGAAUCCCCAACAGUAAGAGGACCAGUAGGGGAUAUGAAGGAUGGGCGCCAUAUGUUAUCUGGAGAAGACGGGACUACCUCUUCACCAAGGUUCAAAUCAAAACGACGGUCGGAGGGUCCAGACAUUUUCAAAGUGUUGAAGGAAGAAGAGAUCGGACAAAUCAAGAUCUUAGAAGUACAAGAGGGGAGUUUUCACAAGCGAAAAUUCAAGUGUGCUUUGAAACGAACUGCAUGCCUCUAUAAAAAUCAGCACUCGACGGGAUUUCAGAGAUCGAAGAGGCGAGCUCAGAAUUCGAAGAGGCCAUUCAAAAAUCGAAGAGGCAAGCUCAGAAAUCGGAGAAGCAUCUUGCUUUUUCCAGACGUGUCGGCACCCGUCACACGCAAACUCAGCUUUGCGGAAAUCACGGGUAAUUUGUCGAAGCGCCAAUCCCAGAUAUCGAAGAGGCGCCAGUCUUUUUCAGCCGCGUCAUCACCUGUCAUAUGCACACUCAACUUUGCGCAAAUCAUGGGGAAUUUGUCGAAGAUUUUCGGUGAAGGAGAAAGCACGUUAAGUUUACUGUUCAAUCACGCGUUAGUUGCCGACACGAGUGAAAGAAUAGUACCUCUACAGGUAUUAAGGGACCUCCUAUAACUGUCCACCUUCACCUUCCAUAGCAAGGCAGACACACAGAGUUUUUCUUCAUCUCCAAAAAUGCUUUCCCAACGAAACCUCUCGAGUCAUUCAGUGUUCCUUAUUCCUUGGGGUACCUCUGCAAGCCAAUGACUCCAAAGCAAAAGUAUCUCAUAUCACCAGGGUAGAAAGCAAGAGUAUCUCAUAUCAUGCACUCUCCCUGUCCUUUCCUUUGUCCUUGUUCUUACCUGCAAAGACAAGGAUAAAGAAAGCAAUAUGCCGGAACCUCCACUCAAACUUGGGUAAGGAACCGACUGCUUGGAACCCUUCCCUGAUUGCCUACCUAGCACUGCUAUCGAGUACUCGCCUCCCACUGCUGCUGUACUUUCAAAGAAGCUGCCACAUCUGCCUGGAGGACAGAUAAUGCAAGUGAAAAUGAUACCUUGCAGCAUGUGGAGACAAGGUGCAGAAGGAACAAGCAGAAAAGAAUGCGGUCUGCACGGUCAACUCAGCAGAAGGAGUCCGAACUGAGGAACUCGAGAAGCUGCCACAUCUGCCUGAAGAAACAAGCAGAGAAGAAUGCAGCAUGCACAGUCAACUCAGCAAAAAGAGUCUGAGAUGAAGAACUCGAGAAGAUGCCGCAUCUGCCCGAGGACGGUGAACUCGUUUUGACCCUCAAAUUCUUGGGUCGACUUACUAGGCGUUGUGGGCUGCACAUGCCGAUUCACCACCCUUGAAUCAAAUCCUUAAAGACCAAGUCACCAAUUGGAAGAGGAGCCCAUCAAUCUCGAAGAUCAUACCGUUGACCAAACUACUCAGGUAUGAAUUAGAAAGAUUGAACAAAGCAACAAGUCGUCACCUUCACCUCGUGCCUGCUUGCCGUGUGUUCGAGUCAGCCUUCAAGAAUCAAGCCUCAACGGCCCUUGAAGAAGCUUCCAGCCAAAUUCAAAAUCAAGCCUCGACGGCCCUGGAAGAAAUCACAAGUCCGAUUCAAGAUUAAGUGUCUACCAUCCUUGAAUCAAAACCUAGUUCAAGAAUAAGCUCUGGAAAAUCAACAAUUGGAGGAAUCUAGAAAAUCCUUCAACCCAGUUCAAGAUCAAAGCUGUGGAAAGUCAACAAAGCGCAACAAAAUACGUGUCGAUUCACCCACUACCAAAGCCAAAGAUCAUCUACCACAUGAAGCUCCUUGUGGUCCAAUUUCAACCUUCAAGAUCAAGCCUCGACGGCCCUUGAAGAAAUUUCAAAUAAAAGUUCAAGAACAAGCCUCAACGGCCCUUGAAGAAAUUUCAAACGAAAGUUCAAGAACAAGCCUCAACGGCCCUUGAAGAAAUCUCCAGCCCAAUUCAAGAUCAAGCCUCGACGGCCCUUGGAUCGACAUCUACAGUAAGGGACUUCAAAACGCAUCUCUUACACGUGACAAGCACAUGUAUACGACGCGCCUUGAAGUGGGGGCAUUUGUAGACAUCGAAAUUUCGGUAAAUAAAUGUUGACCGAUAAAUCAAAGUGUCAACGCUCAUGUAUUACAUAAAUUUUACACGUAGCGUGUGACUCAACGAAAAUUGAAAUAAGUUGGAAAAGUCAUCAAAUAGGACACGUGUCAACACCUGGCAGAAACGACUUAUUUCAUCUGGAAUAUUAUAUUCAAAAUUAGGCCUUGGAAAAUUCUAUAAAUACAAGCCCAUUUCAUUCAUUUGAAGAAACCAAUUCAUAUUACACCUUGAAGCUCUGAAGCUCUGAAACUCCGAAGCUCUCAAGCAUCCAGGUUCCCAAAGAAUCAAGAAAGUGUUCUUCGUUCUUCGUUCAUCGUUCUUCCAAGAUCAAGCCCCAACGGCCCUUGGAUCAACAAUCAUCCACCAAUUCAUAUUACACCUUGAAGCUCUGAAGCUCUGAAACUCCGAAGCUCUCAAGCAUCCAGGUUCCCGAAGAAUCAAGAAAGUGUUCUUCGUUCUUCGUUCAUCGUUCUUCCAAGAUCAAGCCCCAACGGCCCUUGGAUCAACAAUCAUCCACCUUCAAGAUCAACCCCCGACGGCCCUUGAAGAAAGCGUUCUUCGUUCUUCGUUCAUCGUUCUUCCAAGAUCAAGCCCCAACGGCCCUUUGGAUCAACAAUCAUCCACCAAUUCAAGAUCAAGCCCCGACGGCCCUUGAAGAAAGCACCAUCGUUCAUCAUCGUUCUUCCAAGAUCAAGCCCCAACGGCCCUUUGGAUCAACAAACGUCGACAAAUCCACACAUCCAACCGUUCUUCAAGAUUAAGCCCAAAAGCCCUUGAAGAUCUGUUCAUCACUGUUUCUUCAAGAUCAAGCCCAAAAGCCCUUGAAGAUCCGCUCAAAUCCACCUUCAAAGAUCAAGCCCACGGCCAUUUGAAGAAACUUCCAACAGUUCAUCCAAGAUCAAGCCCCGACGGCCUUUGGAUCAACGAAACAUCCCCAAAUCAACAUCUUACGGAGAUCGAAUCAGAUGAUCAAAAUAGAGAGAGAUUGUAACCCAAAAUAAUCAUCAAAUACAAAUAUUUGUUUGUGCACGUUCGUUCUUGUCUCUUUCGUUUCAGGAAUUUUCCGUGUUCACAGACGGUUCUAAGCAGUUGGGUUCCAGGGUUGGGGGAGGAUUCAGGUAAGAGGAUGAAGAGAAAUACUUUCUUGUUUUUGUCCGGAGUUCUUUAUAAGGAAGCCAAAUAAUAUAGAUUAUUAUAAAAGUAAAUAGUUACAAGUUAUUUCAAUUCUAGUGCAGCCUAUAUAAGUUUACUGGCUAGGCUUUUAACCUCGCAUUCUCGAUUCUCGCAAAUGGACUUAAAUAUUUACAAAUUAUUUCUAAUAAUGGAUGUAAUAAAAUUUAAUGACAGACCCUGACCCGAAAUGUCUACCUGGACUCCGAAUCAAGCUAUGAUGGCCGACACCAUAAGGGUGACGAAGCCAUGAAGUGUAAUGAUGUGAAUAAAUUUAAACCAAAAAAUGCCUAAAUAAAAGAGUGCGCUGGUGAGCAGGAAUGAACAUUUUCACACGUGAUGUCAGAGCAUAAUUAAAGUAUAAUAAAAAAGGAUAAGAAUUAUACCAUCAAAGGUAGCCACCUAUACUGAUAUUUGCCAAGAAUCCUCAUCGAUACAUAAGUUUGGCUGUUAAAACCUAGAAGGGCAAAAAAUAAGGGUGAGUGGAUCUGAAAAUAAAGUGUUAUAAAAACCUUUUCGAAAACAUAAUAACCUCUCACGUAACACAAGUAUAGUUUUCAAAGUAUACAUACUACGUAUAGUAAGAGAAUACUUAUCAUAGCAUGCAAGAUCCCAAGAAUUCAAUAUGGUAUAAUAUUUCAUAAAUAACAUAUAACAUCUGUAAUCACAUUUUACGAAACUAGUGUGCACGAUCCAACCGUAAAAUGUUUGCAUAAACUUGUAGAUCACGAACGCAAAAAAUCACCAAAAAGAACGUUCGGAGAUUAGGAAAUAGAUCGCAAACUUUCAAUGGUUAAAAAGAAAAAUUCACGAUUUAACGGUCGUUUUAGGUCCGAUUAGGAUCAUUUUUUGCAAAUAUAAUCGUUGACUCCAAAAUUAAGAUCAACGUCUAUGAUUAUGCAUUAAUUAUUUUAGAAAAAAGUAGAGCUAACAAAAACCUUAUAUUAUACUUAGUGGAAGUAUAGAAGAAACACAAAGUGUUUUGGUCUUGAAGCUUUUGAAUAAGACCCACAUUGUACGAAACUAGUGUGCACGAUCCAACCGUAAAAUGUUUGCAUAAACUUGUAGAUCACGUACGCAAAAAAUCACCAAAAAGAACGUUUGGAGAUUUGGCAAUAAAUUGCAGACUUUUGAUGGUUGGAAAGAAAAAUUCACGAUUGUGACAGUAGUGCACUUCUAAAACAAAAUUCCAGUUUUGUAUCACAUCGAUAUAAGCAUAACAGUAGUGCACAUAUUAGUAAUCCGCAAAGUAUGCAUUGUGCCAUUCAUAACCAAAAGUAAUGUUAUACAAUUGAACAAGCAGAAGUAAAACUACCCUAUGAAUGUAGGAAGUCCGCAUUAUUGCUAAGACCUUAGGAGGUGCAAAACAAAGUGUGAGUAGAUCACAAUUCUCAAGUCAAAAUCAUUUUCAACAUAUUAACUCCUACCGUUCUAUAAAACAUAUAUAGUUGGAAAACUAAAUAAUAAUAUCUACUACCAAAAUAAUGAAUGAAAAUUACAUUCAAAUCAUCAAUCGAAAACACUCAAGCAAUAGUUCAAAUAUCAUACCUAUAUUUAGUUAAUCACACUAACAUCUACGAACGUAAGUAUAUCAAGCAGGUUAAGCUAGCUUUUACUAGCAAAAUUCUCUACCACUAUCUAUCUGAAUUUCCUAGCAUGUACUAGAAAUAUAUAACACCUACAAAUAAUCUAAGGUCGAAAAUAGCUAUACAAAAUAUCACAUGAUGACCAUGUGAUGAAAAUAGAUCACCAAUAUGGACAAAUUCAAGUUUAUGGUUGUUUGACCAAUUUAUGUAAGUCUCAUCUGAGACUACCUUUAAAACAUAUUAUAAAUCAUAAUCAAUUCUUAUUUAAGUCUCAUUCAAAGACGAACUCAAUAAAAAAUAAUAUACAUCGACAUAUAUAUAUAUAUAUAUAUAUAUAUAUAUAUAUAUAUAUAUAUAUUAAAACUUUAGUUUUUGAAGGGAUCCACUCACCUUCACCUGACAAUUUCUUACACGACCCGUUAAUACAACACGUAAAUAAUACGAAAAUAACGGGUUUCGGUAACAUGAUAAGGACCCGUUACGGGUCCUUAACAGGUUUACACGAAGGUGACACACGGUAACCUGUUUCGACACGUUAAGAAAAAAGUUAUUUUGAUGAUUUUAAUUUUUAAAACGACUAAAAAAAACUUACUAUAAAUACAAUAGUCAUUGUGUAGAUGUAUAUAUUGUAUAUUAAAUAUGUAUUAUUGUAUUAUUAUUCUAUAUAAAUUUAAAAAAUUUAAGUUUUAUUUAUUUAUUUUUAUAGUAUGCUAUAGGUGUGAUAUCCUGUCUUGAAUUUUAUUGUAUUUUAUUCUCAGUAGUAAUAAAAUUAUCAAAAUACCCCUAAGAUGCCAUGUAGGCCUUCCACAUGGACCUCAAUUUUCCUUUCACUUUUCCCAUCUUAUUUUACUAUUUUUGAAUAGUACUCAUUUUUAAAGAAACGUGGCCGCAAACGGAACUCGAUUUGAAGUUAUAAAGAACAAGUUAUGUUCAAAACAGUACAAAUUCACCUAAAAGAGGUUCAAACUUUAAAAACCAAUCUUGUGCAGUCUGCAUCACUGCCUUGGUCUUACGUGGGAAACAUAUAUCAGCCUUCAAAGACGCUUAAUGAGGAAUGGUGUGCAAGUUGCUUUAAACAAAUAUUAUUUCGGAUUUUAGAAAAUACAUUGAAAACUUUGAGUUUUAACUAUAAAUACAAAAUAAAAAGUAAAGUGAAUUGUACUUGGAUUGACUUUUUAAUGUAAAAAUAUAAUUUUUCGUUGAAGUGAACAGUAACUGAAGCUUUUUGUUAAUGUUCCUUAUUUCUUUUUCUGAAACUUUCAUUCUCUCUCUCUCUUUUUCAGCUCUCCCCUGUGAGCUUUGGAAUCUUUGGAACUCAAGGGACCCAACCAUGGCCUUGCAUGCGGCAUUGGUGCAUGGUGCGAGGGUUUACCAUUGAAGCCGAGAGUUUGAGCUUUCAAUCUCGAACUUAGAUUCCAACAAAGGAAAACAGAUGAACUCUAACAAGUUCGAGAUCCAAUUCUCGGUGUAAUCUCGUGCAUUUCACUUGGGUAAGUUCUCAAUCCUAUUCUUAUGGUUUCUAACUUAUAAAUCGUGUUGGAAACCUUUCCGGUGAUACAUGCAUGUUGUCGGUGCAUUCUUCCAGAUUUACGACGAACUUAGGCUGCCACCUUCAGGCCACUUUCCGAUGAUCUUCGAACAACUUUUGGCCUUGAAAUAUGUAUAAUCUUAUUCCUCUUGUCUUAAGCUUUGUUUUGAUAUACUAUGGGUCAAUUUUGGUUGUGUAUCGUCUCCAAAAAAAGCGUUUGAAAUUCUCCCUAUAUUUUCGGCGAAAUUCCCUUUUUUGUGCAAACUAGGGGAAAUUUUAGAAAGGAUUGAUCUUGCUGCACUGUUUUUACAACAAGAACCAAACUGCAAAAAUUGCUGAAGCUUUAGGGCUGUUUGGGAAUUAUAAGAAGUUGAGAGCAUUUUUGCAAUUACCUAUAAUUUUAGGGACAAUUUUGUAAAAUGUGAAAUUUGGACAUAUUAUAGUUAAUUUGUCCAUUUUCCAUAUUAUUUACGUUUAAGUAUUUUGUGUACUUUGUUAAGUCAAUGUGACUGGGUAUAGGUACAAGCUUAUUCGGUUUGACGAAUGACGAGGCUUAUCGAGAGCAAGCAAGCUAUGAUUAUAUGAGUGGGUCUUUUUCUUUUUACGUGUAUAUAUAUGUAUAUGUGUUUUUCCUAACUACUUUUAUAUAUAUUAUGAUGUGACAUGCCAUGUUUAGCUUUACAAAUAGACUUUUCGUGCGCUUUAUGUUUUUUUAAUAUUAUUUGUGAGCAUAAAUUGUGGCAUGACAUUCUUACGUUUUAUCUGCUCAUUACUACAUGUUUGCACGAUAUCUCUUAGUUAUUUGUACUGUCAUGGGCCAAUGACUAGUUUAAUGUGUAGUUCACAUACACCGUUUACAUUCGCUUUGAAUCCAGAGUUAGGUGUGAGCAUGUCCUGUUGUAUGUUGUGUUGGACUUGUAUGUGUUGCGAUUAGCGCAACUCACGUGAUGUAGUACUAGAAUGUAAUACCUACACCUAACAUGUUCCAUUGUUUGAAUACCUCUGCAAUGGACUUGUGUGCGGACAUAAUUUGUGAGCAUUGAUUUUGCGAUUUGUGAUUUAAUGUUGAGAUACCUUGUUGUUAUGCCCUACACCUUUGACUCACUUCUGCUACAGGGUACUUACUACAUACCAUUAUUAUAAUAUUUAUAGGAAACCAUAUACUAGUUUUACAGCGAGGGGUUACAUUUUUCGAAAAGGUUUUACAAAACUUUAUUUUCAGGCCCACUCACCCUUAUUUUUCGUCAUUCCAGGAUUUUAGUGGCAAAGGUUUUGUGACGAGGAGGAUUGAUGGUAAAAGCUAUUAAUUAGGAGACUUCUCAUUUCGGUAUAAAUGCCCUUACUCUUCUUUUACUGCAAUUUAUCUAUACUCUGACAUCAUUUGCGUUAUAUGGGUUCAAUCCCGCUCACAUGCGCUCUAAAUGAUUCACAUUUUCCACAUCACUACACUUUAUAGAUUCGUCACCCUCCUGGUGUCGGCGUUCAAGUGGACAUUUCGGGUCAUGGUGUGUCACUAAAUUUUAUUACGUCCAUUAUUAGAAAUAAUUUGUAAAUAUUUAAGUCCAUUUGCGAGAAUCGAGAUUGUGAGGUUGGAAGCCUAGCUAGUAGACUUCUAUAAGCUACUUCAGAAUCGAAAUAAUUUAUAACUAUUUAUUUUUAUUUAUAUAAUAAUAUUUAUUUUUAUUAAUAUAGAUUAUUAUGUAAAUAAAAAUAAAUAGUUACAAAUUAUUUUGAUUCUGAUGUAGCUUAUAGAAGUCUACUAGCUAGGCUCCUAACCUUACAAUCUCGAUUCUCGGAAAUGGACAUAAAUAUUUACAAAUUAUUUAUAAUAAUGGAUGUAAUAAAAUUUAGUGACACAUCCCGACUCGGAAUGUCCACCUGGACUCUGAAUCGAGCUGUGUUGGUCGACAUUAGGAGGGUGACGAAGCCAUAAAGGGUAGUGACGUGGAAAAUGUGAAUAAAUUUAAACCUAAAAGUGUAUAAAUACAAAAGUAUACUACUGAGCAGGAAUGAACCUUUUCACACGUCGAUACGAAAGUUCAACUACUAAAACCUGGAAAGGUGAAAAAUAAGGGUGAGUGGACUUGAAAAAAAAAACGUCAUAAAAAUCUUUUCGAAAACAUAAUAACUCCUCACAUAAAGCAAGUAUAGUUUUCAAAAUAUCCAUACUACGUAUAGUAAGAGAAUACUUACCAUAGCCUACAAGAUCUCAAGAAUUCAAUAUGGCAUAAUAUUUCAUAAAUAACAUAUGAAGUCCGUAAUCGCAUAAGCAAUCAUAUCAUAGCAAGCACUCAUCGACGCAUGCUAACACAUGAGUUCAUGCAAAGAUAUUCUUAGCAAGCACUCAUCGACGCAUGCUGACACACGAGUUCAUGCAAAGAUAUUCUUACAUGAACAUGACUAGGUGUAACAAUGAUAUACGUUCUAGUACUACAAUCACAUGAAGGCUGGGGCUAUGCCCAGUACAUACAAGUCCUAAUUGUAUAUAGCAAUCUACGACAGGACUACCACCUACAAUGGAUCCAAAAUGAGCGUACGGUGUGAUGUGCACAUACACAUGAAAGACUAGUACUGAUCCGGGCGAGUACUAACACCGGUGCAGCAAACUAUGAGCAGAUAACGUAAACAUAGUCAUGCCACAGUAAUUCGAUAAUUCUAGUCAAUAUAUCAUUAUUCAUAAUCGUAAAUUUAACUAAAGCAUUUUGUAAGAUUUAUAGCGAUUUACUAAUUCUCAUUAUUACGCCAUCUACCAUAAACGUUAAUAUAAUUACGACAAUCAUAUAGAAAAAUUCAUUACUAGAUGUAUAUAUGAAAACUAUAUAUAUAUAUAUAUAUAUGUUUAUCAAAGAAAAAAACCCAUUCACAGAUAAUGUCGUCGAGUCAAACUCGCCUCGCAACACCGAGAGUCCUUUCGAUGCAUUUUGCCUAAAAAUGAAACUAUUUUAAAACGGUCGAAUUUCGAAAAAUGGAGGAUGGAUUCAGGUCCGACAUGUCAAGAAACCUAAGAAAGAAUCUUUGGCCCCUCCAUGCUCUGCCACAAGAUGGCUGCAUAGGCACGCACGCCCCCACGAGCCGAGCACAAGGAAGCUACCCACGCACGCACACCCCCACUUUUUUGUAGGUUGAACCGGCUACUUCCAGAGCUCAUAUCGAGCUCGAUUCUCCACCAAAAUCAAUUAUACAAGAACCUAAAUGAAGCUAGAAGUGUAGGGAAUAGAUUUAUACCCAUUUGAGGUCGUGUUAUUAUCGGAGUUCAUUGGAAAAGUGGUCUGAAAGUGGCCAAAUGGUCAUGGGUUAUUGUUGGAAAUCUGGAGAAUUUCAUCCCAACUUUUAGAGCUAAUUUCUAGUUAGAUACUUAACUUGAUGAUUCAAAAGCCAUUUUGAAAUGGUCGGAUGGCCAUAGUUCCUUGCUCAAAAUCUGGGGAUCUUUUCCUCGAGAUGUUUUUUUGCAUCAAAUUACACUUUGAAGUAUAAAUACCUUAUCAGAAGUUCCAAAAACAAUACGAUUUGAGGUUGUGGGCUUCCGAGGAUUACCCUUGGUCGGAAAACCGUAAACUGGCCGGAGUUAGCAAUGUUAGGUGUGCUACUGUUGUUGUGCAAUGGUCAAUGUUUCUGUGCAGGUGUGCAUCGAUAGUGGAAUGAGAAAAUAUAAGAAGGGGAGAGAUUGAAACAUGGUGGUGUAGUGGCCUGAGGACUCACCGAAGUCUGGCCUUGGCCUCCUUGGCUUUACAUAGAAGGAUAAGUGUUGGGGAGAACUAAAAGAGAGGGAAGGGAAAUGAUAAUCCGGCAGCCAAUGAGAGGUCCCAUAAAUAAUGGAGGGGACAUGGGAGGAAGGUAGAGGAAUGGAGGGUGGGCCCCACGUGGCACACAGCCCAAGGCCAUCAAUGGAGAAACAGAAAAAUAACGGAUCAUUUUUCUCUCGUACACGUGCAUUAAAUGUUAUAAAGUGUCAUUCUUCUGAUUAUGGGUUCAAACUUCAAAGCUGUCAAUAACAGAUCAUAUUUUUUUAUUCAACCAGGCUCAUAUCCUAGCUAGCUUAGAGCAAGUCCACCGAAGUGGACUUUGCCCAGGACCCAGCACAAAAACAAGGCCAGCACCCUGUCAAUCAAGUCUACCUCCUCAACUUGACUGGUACCCAGCCCGAGCUGGGCUUUGGACCAGCCCAAAAGAGACUAAGCAAGAAGCUGGGUUGUCUGCCUGGCGUGUGCGCUUCACGCAGGCGAACUCAGUUCCCCCCCCGAGUUGGCGACGUGGCUCCUUUUCUGCCGUUGGAUUUCCAAUGGCUAGUUUUCUAGACCGUUGGAUUUCCAACGGUAAAAAAAAUUUAAUUUUACUUUUAAAAUAGAUCGUCGGAUCAAAGAUUAACGGUCCACGUUUUUUCACAAAAAAGUAAAAAAAAAAAAAAGGCCCAACGGUCAGAAAUAUGACCGUUGGCCACGUGGCAACUCCUUGGCUCUUGGAUUUGAAUAUUUUUCAAAUCCAACGGUCCAGAUUAAUUAACUAUAUUAAAAAUUAUUAAAAAAUACAUAAAAUUUAUUAAAAAUACAUAAAAUUUUUAAAAAAUUACAUAAAAUUUUGAAAAAUGUUAAUUUUUUUCCUAUAAAUACCUAACCCUCAUCUUCCACCUUUACACCACAUUUCAAUAUUUUCUACACUUUCUAUACUAUCUACAUUUCAAUAUUUUCUACACUUUAAGAGAAAAAAAUGUCUUCGUGGAAGCUCAUUGAAGAUAUUACGUUGUGUGAAUGUUGGUUUCACACUACUCAUGACCCGAUUACGGGUAAGGAGAUGGAUAAGCGAGAAAUGUGGAGUAAAAUUACGAAAGCGUUUUGCGAUGUACAUGGAGAAAACGCCAGAAACUAGUCAAGGUCUUCAAGGUCGUUGGAAAAAACUCAACGCAUCUUUUACUUGUUGGAAAAACGCCAUCUCUCAUGCUUCCAGUAACCUCCGUAGUGGGACAAGUUUAGCGGAUCAGGUGACAAUAUUUUUAUUUAUUUAUAUGCAUUCCACCCACAUCAAUAUUUUGAUUUAUUUAAUUUCGUAUGUAAUUUUUAUGUUAUUUCUUAUGUAAUUUUUAUAUGCAUUCCACCCGCAUCAAAAUUUUAAUUUAUUUAAUUUCUUAUGUAAUUUUUAUUUAAUUUCUUAUGUCAUUUUUAUGUAAUUUAUAUGCAUUCCACCCAUAUCAAUAUUUUGAAUUUAUUUAUUUGUGUUACACCCGCAUUUUUUAACACUAUGUUAUCUCACAUUUUUAUAGACACUACAAGCUCAAGCAUUCUACAAUUCAAAGAACGGGAACAAAUCAUUCACUAGAUGGGAAUGUUAGCAAAUUGUCAAAGAUUGCCCUAAAUACAAAAUUGUGGCAACUGGUCCAGAAGUUGUCAUGCACGGUAUGGGUCUACAUAGUUCUCCAGAACCAGACAUGGCCGAACAAAAAGCCGACACAUUUCAAGACACGGAAGGGACGCCUGAACAAGUGCCCGAGACCCAACCGACUCGUCAGUCCCUCAGGCCCGUAGGUAAAAAGGCGUCAAAGAAAAAAGGUAGUUCUUCCAAAAAUGACUACACUAAAUAUAUGGAGGAACUUGCUCGCCAAGGUGAACUGAACAUGGCACGGGAAAAGGUUAGAGAUGAGGAAAAAGUUGCUGCUAUGGCAGCAAUAGUAGCAGCUACUAAGGCCCGUGAUGCGGCGGUUGAGAGACAAAGAGAAGUAGUUAAUCGAGAGAGCGAGCUGGUUAGAGAAGCACUUCAUCGAGAAAAUGAAUUGCUUCGAGAAGAAAGGAUGGCUCAAGUAGAUCGUGACAUUAUGAGCAAGUCUCUAGUAGGAUUGUCUCCGAAUUCUAAAUAUUUUUGGACAUCGGAAAAAAGAGAUGUCAUGCGAAGGAGGCGUGCAAGAGAUGCGGAAACAAGUCAAGGGGGUUCUAGUUACACAAAUCAUGGCAACCAAGAUCCUAGCACCACAUAUCCUAACUCGAGAGAUUUUGUAUAAUUUUUAUGUAUUUUUUAUGUUUUUUCUUUCUUUUUUCUUUUGAACUUUAUUUAAUUUCUUAUGUUUUUUCUUUUUAUAGGUUUGAACUUUAUUUAAUUUCUUAUGUAAUUUUUAUGUUAUUUCUUAUUUAUUUUUAUUUAAUUUAUUAUGCAAUUUUAAUGUAAUUAUUUAUUUAUUUAUUUAUUUUUAAAAUUUUAUUUAUUUUGUACUUUAUUUAAACACAUGAAAUAAGAUUACAUAAACUCACCAAAUAAAUUUGAAAACAAAACACACUACAUAGAAUUACAUAAACUCACCAAAUAAAUAGAAUUACAUAAACUCACCAAAUAAACUUAAAAACAAAACACACUACAAACUUAAAAACAAAACACACUACAUAGAAUUACAUAAACUCACCAAAUAAAUAGAAUUACAUAAACUCACCAAAUAAACUUAAAAACAAAACACACCACAUAGAAUUACAUAAACUUAAAAAAAAAUACAAUUUAUUCUUCAACCACAAGCCUCAUUCUAAUUAUCUUCGCCUUCAUGCAAUCCCCACUGGUGCUCAAUCAAGUCAUUCUGGCGGGUUACGUGCCAGUAUGGCUCUUGCACAUUAGUGUACCGCUGAACGAUCAAUUCAUUGUAACGUCCAUCACGUUCCAACGGCUCGUGUUGCACUGGAUCUUCGGUCCGGUCAUGAGCACAAUAGAUACGUGUUCUUGAGUUGUUCAUCGGAUCCGGCUCAUAUUCAUCGACAGCAUCAUAAUCAUACUCAUCUUCAACAAUCAUGUUGUGGAGAAUAAUACACGUCAUCAUGAUGGAUCGAAGAGCCUCGACAUCAAACAUUCUAGCUGCAGCCCUGAUAAUCGCCCAACGAGCUUGCAGGAUACCAAAACAACGCUCGACAUCCUUCCUACACCCUUCUUGACAGUUUGCAAAGUGUUUUUCCUUUUCAGUCUGUGGAUGUGGCACUGUUUUGACAAAUGUUGACCACCUUGGGUAAAUGCCAUCUGCAAGGUAGUAUGAUCCCUCGUAUUGGGUACCAUUAACCCAAUAUGUGCAUCUCGACGAGUUUCCUUGCAGCAGUUCGUCGAACACUGGGGAUUGGGCAAGGACAUUUAGGUCAUUCUAAGCUCCUGGAACACCAAAAAAAGCAUGCCAAAUCCAUGUAUCAAAUGAAGCCACCGCUUCCAAAAUGAUGCUUUUGGCUCAUUUUCUGUCGCCAUAUGCUCCUUGCCACGCACUUGGACAAUUUUUCCAAGUCCAGUGCAUGCAGUCGAUGCUUCCAAUCAUGCCAGCGAAGCCUCGCAUCUCACCCUUCCUCAGAAGCCUUCGCAUUUUCCUUGGUGUGGGUGUCCGGAGGUACUCAUUGGUGUAGAGGGCUUCAAUUGCAGAGCAAAACUGCAUCAGGGACUCCAGAACAGUUGUUUUUCCCAUCCUCGCGAUCUCAUCCACUUGAUCUGCAGAUGCUCCAUAUGCAAGCAUUCGCAAGGAUGCCGUAAUUUUUUGCUCGGGAAUAAGACCUAGAACAUGAAAAGCAUCAUCUUUUUGCACAAUGUAUGAAUCAUGGUUGCAAAUAUCACUCAUGAUUUUGUUGAACAAAUUUCGUUGCAUUCUAAAACGCCGUUUAAAAAUAUGAUCAGAGAAUAUGCUAUUGGGAAUAAAAUAAUCUUCCAAUAGAUUUUUACCUCGUUUUUCCCUUUUUUCUAUCGAGGUUUGCAACACGUCUUGGUUUGGCUAUUUGACUCACGGCUUCCAUGACACGGCGGGAAUGUGAGGUCUUCUGCCUUCUAUGGUGAUCAUCCUCAUCCUCCUCCAUGAAGAAAGCCUCAUCUCCACCUCCACCUUCCUCGAGAUUGGCCAAUUCUGCCUGUUGUGCCAACAACCUUUGUUGUUGCUCCUGCAACUGUUUAUACACCCUUCUUGAAGAAGACAUUGUAAUAAGAACUCAAGAUUUGAAAACGAUGAACAAGGAUUCUGAGCUAAAAAGAAGGAUUGAGCUUGGUGUGAGGAUGGAUGUAGGGUUUAUAUGGACAAAAAAAAAAGGAUGAGGUUCUGGACAAUGCCAUGUGGCACUACGUGAUUGGUUGAAAAUCUUAUCAAAAUCUUGGCUAAAUUAUUGUAAACCGGAGGUGACACGUGGCGUGUCGGGAUUGGUCGAAAAUAUUAUUGGAAAUCUAUCCACAAAAUAGUACGUUCGGAUAAUGAUACGUGGCAUGACGUGAUUGGUGGAAAAUCUUAUCGAAAUCUUGGCUAAAUUAUUGUAAAACGGAAGUGACACGUGGCGUGUCGCGAUUGGUUGAAAAUCUUAGCGGAAAUCUAUUCACAAAAUAGUACGUUCAGAUAAUGACACGUGGCGUGACGAGAUUACUGUGAUUUUCACUAGGUGCCAACACAUCUUUUUAGAGGUGGAGAUGUCUUGGCCUAUUACUGUUCAUUGGAGUAUGUUACUGUUCACUUGAGUGGAUAAAUGUGCUGGGUGCUGACGCAAAGUCCUUAGGGGUGGACUUGCUCUUAGUUACGAAACUUCCUAGCUAACCCUUCUUCCAGUCUGAAUCUCAGUAAGUUAGGCUUUUUUUUCAAAACAAGGUCAUAGUUAUUUUUAUAUUUGAUUAUAAUAUGGUAGUUUUGAUGAUUUUACAUUUAUUCAUAUAUUUUGAUUUUUUUUAUCCCCAGACCAAUUUCUCUCCUCAAAUUGUGAGUAUUUGAUGACAUAAUUACAUUUGUACAUUGUUUUAUUCAUGAACGAUUUGCAGUUAAAUGAUGAAGUGUUGAUGGAAUACUAGCUUGGGUACACGCAUUAUGUAUAAAUCAGAAAUAAAAUGUUUUUUUUAGCAUUUUUCUGAUAACAACCAUAUAUUUUGUGAUUAUUAGGUGUAAGAGGGAUGAUUUUCACGCGUCAUUUUCAACUUCUCACAUAUUCUCUAUUUAUUUUGAUUGUCAGAUAAAAUAAAUCAUACGAGAACAACAAAUUAACAAGCUUGUGUUUGAGCGUGAAAAAUGUCUGUUUACGGAGAAAACUAAAGUCUAUCCCGUAAAUAAUCAUGUGACAAUAUCAUUGAUCCAUCUCAAUCCUAACUGCAUGGUUUACUAAUAUGUUGUGUUUUGAGUUGAUGCACAUAAGUAGUGAACAUAACUAUUAAGAAAUAAGAAAAAAAAUAUUUAAUUUCUUCAUGUUAUAAUUGUAAAACUUUAUUAGCCUACAUAGAAUAAAACACAAGUAAAUAAUAACUCACCCGAAGAUGCUAUGGACAAAGGCUUGGUAUGCAAAAAGUCUACGUUGUACUAAUUCUUAGAAAUCAAACCGUGUGGAGAGUUUGUGAAUAUUGUGUAUAUCAGCAAAGGCAAGGACCUUCACUUAUAUAAGCAUGCUAACCUAAUUAAUAGGCUUAGCUAAUCAUUGAGGCCUAAUAGUAGCUAGGUAACUGAAUAUGUCAAUAUCUCUUCAACCAAUCAGGAUUAGGAACCCUUUAGCAAGAAUAGUAACUUGAAUAUUACAUUCCCCUUGCAACAGGUAAAGUCCAAGUUAACUCCCUAACCCUGACUUGAUCCUCAAGUAAUGUACAAUGAUUUUUUUUAUUUUUUUUUUGUUCCCUAUCCUUCAAGGGUCAUAAAUUAUUGUACUAAGACCAUCUCUAACCGAAGGGUCCAGAGGGUCAAAGGAUCGAAAAUUGCCCAAAAAUCAUCUCCAACCGAGGGCUAGGCCAGAGGGUUCGUGGGCCCCACGGAAUCUGAAAUGGCCAAAGGGGCAACCGACUGGCCCAAUCCAGCUAGCCUCGGGCUAGGCAAAAAUUUUGAUUAAUCCUGUCGGAUAUAACCGACGUGAAUGGUUGCCAAAAUUUGAAAUUCAACUGCUAGUUACCAUUGGAUUUAAAUGUUUUUUUUUUUUUUGGGCCAAAUUUUUGUUUAUGAAAUUUAAAAAUUCCUUUUUUUUUUUCCUAAGCCAUUUCUACAUCAUUUUAAAUUUUAAAUCAUGCCUUGGUUUAUGAAAUUUAAAAAUUCCCUUUUUUUUUUUUCAAGCAAUACCUAAGUCAUUCUUACAUCAUUUCUCACACAAUUUUCACCAUUACAUAGUAUCUCACUUCAUUCUAUUUCAAUUCUUCACAUUAUAUUUUCUUACCUCUUCCAAUAAUUUUUCCUUCAAUUUUUUUCAAUAACAUUAAUAACAUUAAACAAUAUUAAACAACAUUAAAUAACAUUAAACAACAUAAAAAUUAUACAACAUAAAAAAAAAAUAUUUAACAACAUGAAACUUAAACAACAUUUUGAAAAAUAUUUAACAAUAUAAAACUUGAACUUCUACUCCAUGCUAUUUUUGGGCCAAAGAUGUGCAACAAUAUCCACCAUAUUUAUAGCCCAAAAAAAUUCAAAUCCAACGACUAGCUGAUGUCAUCUACCAACGGCUAGUUGACGUCAUGCUAACGUCACUUACCUGUUGGAUUUGAAUUUAAAUUGUAGUUUUUAAAUAAUAAAUUAAGUUUGGCCCUAUAGCCCUUUAGCUCUCGGUUGGAGACGGUUUUUUGUGACAGGGCUAAAACGAGCCAUAUGGCCCUUUGAUUCUCGGUUGGAGAUGAAGGCAAAUAUGACCAUGUACUGUUCAUUAAAAUAUUAAUAUCUUGGAGGGCCAGAGGGCUAAAACGUAGCCCUCUGACCAGCCCUCGGUUAGAGAUGGCCUAACCCUUGGCCCCGGUUCACACCCGAGUCUGGACCAAUCAUUUGAGAUAUUUAUGCAGGUUUAGAUGGACCAAAUUACCUUAACCAACCCGAUCAUCAAUGCAUGUUGAUUUAGAAACCAAACAGCAGAUUGAAAAAACUGCGGUUCACUCAUGUUUCUUCCAGAAACCACUAAUUAACUCUGUUUUUUUAUACUCUAGUGAUUUUGCAUAUAUAGUUUACAGCAAGUCCUUUAGCCUUGCAGUAUUCGUGAAUUUCUCCCCUUCAGAUAAUAAAAAAGGAAUUAUAACUUGUUGGCAGACAGAAAAAAUAAUCAAGCAUUUGUUGUCCACUCAAAUUCUUCAUAUUUUCUUUUCAUAGCUUAAUGUAUAAAGUUCUAAACUCUGGAUAAAGGAUUUGAAUUUCUGUGUGCAGAGGAGCUAUACUGCCAUAGCUAAAUUAAGGAGAUAAUUACUUUAUUAUUUGUUAUUGUAACAAAAGAGAUACAAUAAAACAUCUCUAAAGUAAUACUCUAUAAUGGAAUAAGCUCUUUCAAGUCAUAAAAAGUUCCAGUCCCAACUUGAGACUAAUUUUCUACAAAAUAAACUUCAUAUUGUUGUAAAUUAUAUUUCUUUUUUGUCUCGUCCUAAGGAAGCAUGCCUCCACAUAAGAUAACUACAACAACAACAACAACAACAAAGCCUUUUCCCACUAAGUGGGGUCGGCUAUAUGAAUCCUAGAACGCCAUUGCGCUCGGUUUUGUGUCAUGUCCUCCGUUAGAUCCAAGUACUCUAAGUCUUUUCUUAGAGUCUCUUCCAAAGUUUUCCUAGGUCUUCCUCUACCCCUUCGGCCCUGAACCUCUGUCCCGUAGUCACAUCUUCGAACCGGAGCGUCAGUCGGCCUUCUUUGCACAUGUCCAAAUCAUCGGAGCCGAUUUUCUCUCAUCUUUCCUACAAUUUCGGCUACUCCUACUUUACCUCGGAUAUCCUCAUUCCCAAUCUUAUCCUUUCUCGUGUGCCCACACAUCCCACGAAGCAUCCUCAUCUCCGCUACACCCAUUUUGUGUACGUGUUGAUGCUUCACCGCCCAACAUUCUGUGCCAUACAACAUCGCUGGCCUUAUUGCCGUCCUAUAAAAUUUUCCCUUGAGCUUCAGUGGCCUACGACGGUCACACAACACGCCGGAUGCUCUCUUACACUUCAUCCAUCCAGCUCGUAUUCUAUGGUUGAGAUCUCCAUCUAAUUCUCCGUUCUCUUGCAAGAUAGAUCCUAGGUAGCGAAAACGGUCGCUUUUUGUGAUCUUCGCUAGAUUGCUCCCGGUCAUUAGUGUGGAUAAGUAUAUAAAUGGAUAGAGAUAGGAAAGCAAACACAAGAUGUACGUGGUUCACCCAGAUUGGCUACGUCCACGGAAUAGAAGAGUUCUCAUUAAUUGUGAAGGGUUUACACAAGUACAUAGGUUCAAGCUCUCCUUUAGUGAGUACAAGUGAAUGAUUUAGUACAAAUGACAUUAGGAAAUAUUGUGGGAGAAUGAUCUCGUAAUCACGAAACUUCUAAGUAUCGGAGUGUGGUGUCGUCUUGACUUGCCUUAAUCUGUCUCAUAGGUAGAUGUGGCAUCUUCUCUGGAAGUACUUUUCCUCCAUCCAGGGGUGGUAUCUUUAACUGGUGGAGAUGCACAAGGUAAUGUAUCAAUUUCACUUGAAGCUUACUUGUAGUUUCAGGCUUGGUCAAGCGCGAUACAAACCAUGUAGUAGGAGUCCCCCAAGUCGCCGAGCUAGGGGUCUGCUGAAAGAGGUGACAGACAAGGUAAGCAAUCAGAGCUCCGACUGAUUGUUCACCUUCUCCCCAUCUUGCAGCAGCAUGAAGGAUAAAGAGAAGAAAAAAUGAGAAGAGAUGAUAUGAGAUACUUUUGCUUUUGAAGAAGUAACUUUCCACAGGCUUAUUCUUGAACUGAGCUGGAGGGUUUUCUGGUUUCCUCCAGAGUAUAAGGCCGACUGAAGAAUUUGAGGGUCAAAACAAGUCCAUCAAAUCUAGAGUACGUUCCACCCUGCUGAUAUGGGAUACUUUUGCUUUUGACAGAGUAAUGGAUGUAUCGGCACGUGUGCUGUUACGCUUGUCUCCACAUGCUUCCUUGUAUCCUUCGCACUUGCCCUAUCUGUUCCUCAAGCAGAUGCGGAAUCUUCCGUGGAAACAUAAGAUGUUGAAGAUGAGUACUCGAGAGCAAUGCCAGGUAAGUAAUCAGGUAAGGGGUUCCAGGCAGUCAGUUCCUGGCUGGAAGCUUGAUUCCAAGUGCUGACUGAUUGCUCUCUUUCUCCUUGUCUUGCAGGUAAAAACAAGGCCAAAGGAAAAGACAGGGAAAAAGCAUGAUAUGGGAUACUCUUGCUUUUAACCCUGAUGAUAUGAGAUAUUCUUGCUCUAGUAUAGCUUGUUUGCAGAGGUAUUAUCGGGGGGAAAGAAAGCUGAAUAUUUCGAAAGGCUUCGUUGGGAGUGCCCUCUCAGAUAUGAUGAAGGGUUGAGCAUUUUUGCAGGUCUGCCUGUCCGUUGGGGAUGGAGGUCGACAUAUAUAGGAGUCUCCCUAACAACAAGUAGUAAUGUUAUUCCUUUACCCUGCUUGGUCAUAGCACGGUAGUGGGAGCUGUCAGUUUCACAUGUUUUAACUCUGUCAGAGCACUUUGAAAAAGUGGUCUGUGGUAUCUGGCUCUCGAGAUUCGGAGAACGAUGCCUCUUUGAUUUUUGAGAAAGCAAUCAUGCUGGGGGUCUGGCUCUCGAGAUUCGGAGAGCAGUGUCUCUUCGAUUUUUGAGGAAGUAAUCAUGUUGGGAGUCUGGCUCUCGAGAUUCGGAGGGCGGUGCCUCUUCGAUUUUGGAGCAAGCAAUCUUGUUGGGAGUGUUGUCUCGAAUGUGCGUAAAGGUUGGGCAUGUUUGCUAGUCUACCUUGCCACGAAGCACAAAGGUUGACACACAGGGACUUUCCAAUUAUCCAGCAAUGGUACUGUUCCUUUACCCUCUCUUCGAUUUUGAGAAAGUAGUCAUGUUGGGAGUCUGGCUCUCGAGAUUCAGAGGACGGUGCCUCUUCGAUUUUGGAGCAAGCAAUCUUGUUGGGAGUGUUUUCUCGAAUGUGAGUAAAGGUUGGGCAUGUUUGCUAGUCUACCUUGCCACGAAGCACAGAGGUUGACACACAGGGACUUUCCAAUUAUCCAGCAGUGGUACUGUUCCUUUACCCUUGUGGGUAAUAAUAUGGUAGCUAGACCUUCAAAAUUUAUGUGUCUAAACUUUGUUAGUGCUGUUUCUUUGCUAUUCUUUUACCUUUCUUGGUCAGAGCGAUUUAGUGGGAGCUGCAAGCUUCACGUGCUCAACUUUGGCAGAGAACUUUGGCAAAGUUAUUUGUGGUACCCAUGAGCUAUUGUUGCGUGUGGGAAGUGGGUAAUUGAACAGUAAGAUUCAUGUGCUUUCUACUUCACCAGAAAUCUUCGACAGAAUGCCCAUAAUUUCUGCAAAGCUGAGUGUGCGUGUGACAGGUGCUGACAAGGCUAGAAAAGUAGGUGCCUCUUCGAUUUCUGAGAUCGGCCCUCGUGGUCUCUGAGCAGCCCAGCUUUUGAGAAAGCGAGCGCCUCUUCGAUUGAUUCGGAGAACGAUGCCUCAUCGAUUUUUGAGAAAGCAAUCAGGCUGGGGGUCUGGCUCUCGAAGAUUCGGGGAGCAGUGUCUCUUCGAUUUUUGAGAAAGUAAUCAUGUUGGGAGUCUGGCUCUCGAGAUUCGGAAGGCGGUGCCUCUUCGAUUUUGGAGCAAGCAAUCUUGUUGGGAGUGUUUUCUCGAAUGUGAGUAAAGGUUGGGCAUGUUUGCUAGUCUACCUUGCCACGAAGCACAGAGGUUGACACACAGGGACUUUCCAAUUAUCCAGCAAUGGUACUGUUCCUUUACCCUCUCUUCGAUUUUUAAUAAAGUAGUCAUGUUGGGAGUCUGGCUCUCGAGAUUCGGAGGACGGUGCCUCUUCGAUUUUGGAGCAAGCAAUCUUAUUGGGAGUGUUUUCUCGAAUGUGAGUAAAGGUUGGGCAUGUUUGCUAGUCUACCUUGCCACGAAGCACAGAGGUUGACACACAGGGACUUUCCAAUUAUCCAGCAGUGGUACUGUUCCUUUACCCUUGUGGGUAAUAAUAUGGUAGCUAGACCUUCAAAAUUUAUGGGUCUAAACUUUGUUAGUGCUGUUUCUUUGCUAUUCUUUUACCCUUCUUGGUCAGAGCGAUGUAGUGGGAGCUGCAAGCUUCACGUGCUCAACCUUGGCAGAGAACUUUGGCAAAGUUAUCUGUGGUACCCAUGAGCUAUUGUUGCGUGUGGGAAGUGGGUGAUUGAACAGUAAGAUUCAUGUGUUUUCUACUUCCCCAGAAGUCUUCGACAGAAUGCCCAUAAUUUCCGCAAAGCUGAGUGUGCGUGUGACAGGUGCUGACAAGGCUGGAAAAGUAGGUGCCUCUUCGAUUUUUGAGAUCGGCCCUCGUGGAUCUCUGGGGAGCCCAGCUUUUGAGAAAGCGAGCGCCUCUUCGAUUUCUGAGAUCGGCCUUCGUGGUCUUUGAGCAGCCCAACUUUUGAGAAAGCAAACGCCUCUUCGAUUUCUGAGAUCAACCCUCGUGAUCUCUAAGCAGCUCAGCUUUUGAGAAAGCAAACGCCUCUUCGAUUUCUGAGCAGGCGCCUCUUCGAUUUCUGAAGCUCCGUCGAGUGCAGAUUUUAUAGGGGCUGGCAUUAAGUUCCAAAGCACACUUAAAUCUCCACCAGUAGAAGCUUCAUUCUUGCACUUCUAAGAUCUUGAUUUGUCCGACCUCUUCUCUCUUCAACACCUUUGAAAAUGUCUGGCCCCUCCGACCGUCGUUUUGACUUGAACCUUGUUGAAGAGGCAGCCCCGCCUUCUCCAGACAACAUAUGGCGCCCAUCCUUCGUCUCCCCUACUGGUCCUCUUACCGUUGGGGAUUCCGUGAUGAAGAAUGAUAUGACCGCUGCGGUGGUGGCCAGGAACCUUCUCACUCCCAAAGAUAACAGACUACUUUCCAAACGGUCUGAUGAGUUAGCUGUUAAGGAUUCGCUGGCUCUCAGUGUUCAGUGUGCAGGUUCUGUGUCUAAUAUGGCCCAACGCCUAUUUGCUCGAACCCGCCAAGUUGAAUCAUUGGCGGCUGAAGUGAUGAGUCUCAAACAGGAGAUUAGAGGGCUCAAGCAUGAGAAUAAACAGUUGCACCGGCUCGCACAUGACUAUGCUACAAACAUGAAGAGGAAGCUUGACCAGAUGAAGGAAACUGAUGGUCAGGUUUUACUUGAUCAUCAGAGAUUUGUGGGUUUGUUCCAAAGGCAUUUAUUGCCUUCGUCUUCUGGGGCUGUACCGCGUAAUGAAGCUCCAAAUGAUCAACCUCUGAUGCCUCAUCCUUCUAGGGUUCUGUCCAGUACUGAGGCUCCAAAUGAUCCCCCUCCGGUGCCUUCUCUUUCUGGGGCUCUACCGACUGCUGAGACUUCUCCUAAGCAACCUUUGUGAAGGCUCCCUCUUGUGUGUUUAUUUUGACUCAUGUAUAUGUACAUAUUUGUAGCUUAUCGGGGAUAUCAAUAAAUAAGCUUUCCUUCAUUUCAACGUAUUGUGUUAAAUACACCAAAGCCUUCUUCGCUAAGUUCUUUGAAUUUUCUUUUGUUGAAGCUUGUAUGUUGAAGCUUUCUGAGUGGAGCAUGUAGGUUGGGGUAGUGUUCCCUUAAUUUCCCGAGUGAGGAGAACUUCUCAGUUGGAGACUUGGAAAAUCCAAGUCACUGAGUGGGAUCGGCUAUAUGAAUCUUAGAACGCCAUUGUGCUCGAUCCUGUGUCAUGUCCUUCGUUAGAUCCAAGUACUCUAAGUCUUUUCUUAGAGUUUCUUCCAAAGUUUUCCUAGGUCUUCCUCUACCCCUUCGGCCCUGAACCUCUGUCCCAUAGUCGCAUCUUCUAAUCGGAGCGUCAGUAGGCCUUCUUUGCACAUGUCCAAACCACCGUAACCGAUUUUCUCUCAUCUUUCCUUCAAUUUCGGCUACUCCUACUUUACCCCGAAUAUCCUCAUUCCUAAUCUUAUCCUUUCUCGUGUGCCCACACAUCCAACGAAGCAUCCUCAUCUCCGCUACACCCAUUUUGUGUACGUGUUGAUGUUUCACCGCCCAACAUUCUGUGCCAUACAGCAUCGCCGGCCUUAUUGCCGUCCUAUAAAAUUUUCCCUUGAGCUUCAGUGGCAUACGGCGGUCACACAACACGCCGGAUGCACUCUUCCACUUCAUCCAUCCAGCUUGUAUUCUAUGGUUGAGAUCUCCAUCUAAUUCUCCGUUCUUUUGCAAGAUAGAUCCUAGGUAACGAAAACGGUCGCUCUUUGGUAUUUCUUGAUCUCCGAUCCUCAACCCUAACUCGUUUUGGCCUCCAUUUGCACUGAACUUGCACUCCAUAUAUUCUGUCUUUGAUCGGCUUAGGCGAAGACCUUUAGAUUCCAACACUUCUCUCCAAAGGUUAAGCUUUGCAUUUACCCCUUCCUGAGUUUCAUCUAUCAACACUAUAUCGUCUGCGAAAAGCAUACACCAAGGAAUAUCAUCUUGAAUAUGUCCUGUUAACUCAUCCAUUACCAACGCAAAAAGGUAAGGACUUAAGGAUGAGCCUUGAUGUAAUCCUACAGUUAUGGGAAAGCUUUCGGUUUGUCCUUCAUGAGUUCUUACGGCAGUCUUUGCUCCUUCAUACAUAUCCUUUAUAGCUUGGAUAUAUGCUACUCGUACUCCUUUCUUCUCUAAAAUCCUCCAAAGAAUGUCUCUUGGGACCCUAUCAUACGCUUUUUCCAAAUCUAUAAAGACCAUGUGUAAAUCCUUUUUCCCAUCUCUAUAUCUUUCCAUCAAUCUUCGUAAGAGAUAGAUUGCCUCCAUGGUUGAGCGCCCUGGCAUGAACCCGAAUUGGUUGUCCGAAACCCGUGUCUCUUGCCUCAAUCUAUGCUCAAUGACUCUCUCCCAGAGCUUCAUUGUAUGACUCAUUAGCUUAAUACCCCUAUAGUUCAUGCAAUUUUGUACGUCGCCCUUAUUCUUGUAGAUAGGGCACCAAAGUGCUCGUUCGCCACUCAUUUGGCAUCUUCUUCGUUUUCAAAAUCCUAUUGAAAAGGUCAGUGAGCCAUGUUAUACCUGUCUCUCCCAAAAGUUUCCACACUUCGAUUGGUAUAUCGUCUGGGCCUAUUGCUUUUUUUAUGCUUCAUCUUCUUCAAAGCUACAACCACUUCUUCCUUCCGGAUUCGACGAUAAAAAGAGUAGUUUCUACACUCUUCUGAGUUACUCAACUCCCCUAAAGAAGCACUCAUUUCAUGUCCUUCAUUGAAAAGAUUAUGAAAAUAACCUCUCCAUCUGUCUUUAACCGCGUUCUCUGUAGCAAGAACCUUUCCAUCCUCAUCCUUGAUGCACCUCACUUGGUUUAGGUCCCUUGUCUUCUUUUCCCUUGCUCUAGAUAGUUUAUAGAUAUCCAACUCUCCUUCUUUGGUAUCUAGUCGUUUAUACAUAUCGUCGUAAGCCGCUAACUUAGCUUCUCUGACAGCUUUCUUCGCCUCUUGCUUCGCUUUUCUAUACCUUUCACCAUUUUCAUCGGUCCUCUCCUUGUAUAAGGCUUUACAACAUUCCUUCUUAGCCUUCACCUUCGUUUGUACCUCCUCAUUCCACCACCAAGAUUCCUUUUGGGUGUGGGGCAAAGCCCUUGGACUCUCCUAAUACCUCUUUUGCUACUUUUCGGAUACAACUAGCCAUGGAAUCCCACAUUUGGCUAGCUUCCCCCUCUCUAUCCCACACACAUUGGGUGAUUACCUUCUCUUUGAAAAUGGCUUGUUUUUCUUCUUUUAGGUUCCACCAUCUAGUCCUUGGGCACUUCCAAGUCUUGUUCUUUUGUCUUACUCUUUUUGAUAUGUACAUCCAUCACCAACAAGCGAUGUUGAUUAGCCACGCUCUCUCCUGGUAUAACUUUGCAAUCCUUACAAGUUAUACGAUCCCCUUUCCUCAUUAGAAGAAAAUCUAUUUGUGUUUUUGACGACCCACUCUUGUAGGUGAUCACAUGUUCUUCUCUCUCUUCUUAAAGAAGGUGUUGGCUAAGAAGAGAUCAUAUGCCAUUGCAAAAUCCAAGAUAGCUUCCCCAUCCUCGUUUCUCUCCCCAAAACCAUGGCCACCAUGAAAACCUCCAUAGUUGCCUGUCUCCCUGCCCACGUGUCCAUUUAAAUCUCCUCCUAUAAAUAACUUCUCCGUCUGAGCAAUUCCUUGCACCAAGUCUCCAAGAUCUUCCCAAAAUUUCUCCUUCGAACUCGUAUCCAACCCUACUUGAGGUGCGUACGCACUAAUCACAUUGAUAAGUUCUUGUCCUAUUACAAUCUUGAUUGCCAUGAUUCUAUCUCCUACCCUCUUGACAUCUACAACAUCUUGUACCAAGGUCUUGUCCACGAUGAUGCCAACACCGUUUCUCGUUCUAUUUGUGCCCGAAUACCAAAGUUUAAACCCUGAGUUUUCUAGAUCCUUUGCCUUACUACCAACCCACUUAGUUUCUUGUAGGCACAUAAUAUUUAUCCUUCUCCUCACCAUAACUUCCACUACUUCCAUAGAUUUUCCCGUUAAGGUUCCUAUAUUCCACGUUCCUAAACGCAUUUUGCUCUCUUGAACUCUACCCUUCUGUCCUAGCUUCUUCACCCCCCCCGUCUAAUAGGAUCAAAGUACUUCUUUUGUGUGUCCCGGGUAAAGUUGAUAGGAGCAUAUGCUCCCAAACAACUUUGAGUGGAGUCGUUCGAAAAGAAGUUUCUAUGGCCCCCUUGCUCAUUUAACACUGCAUCCGGGUGCCGAUGGAGAUACAGCGACCCUUGCUCACUUAUCACUGUGCUCGGGCCACACAGCGCGCCACUUACGGGUGACGCCCUAGCUUUAGCGCGAUUUUGUUCUGGAUUCAUUUUCAUAAGGAUUCGACGUGAUCAUGGAGUGCCGGCUGUCGACUACCUGACGCCCUCCCCCUCCUCCUUUAUCCGGGCUUGGGACCGGCCAUGUAAGACACUUCUAAAUGAUCCAUAAAAGACAACGAAGAUGGCUGCCCUUUUAUCCAAAAAGAAACCAAAAGUAAGACAUUGGUUAUCAGGGUUGAUCCCAUGCCUAUGGAAUUUCUCCUUUUAUUAUGAAACAUUGCAACUUCUCAAAAAUUCUUGAAAUCAUAUAAAAUCAAUCACUACCAGAAAUUUGAGCUUUCCUUACGAAUUUGUAAGCAACGGAAGAAAUCUCGUCGGCUAAAUCUAACUUACACGACGAACUUUGCCGGUGGUAAGGCAAAAUAAGUUAGCAACCUGGGUUGACUGAAAGUUCUUAUACGACGAACAUAGUUCGUAGGUAAUGAAAAGAUUCAUCGGGUAAAUUUUUGACGCCAAAUAAGAAAAGUUUUAACCAACGGAGAUGUGUGUUGUCGUGGUAAAGCCUAAACUCAAAAGGGGAUGACAUUCCCUUUGUGAGGGUUCUAGAUCCGUGACAAUUUGAAAGUAGGCUAAAGAAUGAAAGCCAAGAAGCGCUUUGCCUAUAGAACUGAGUAGUAAGGCAUUAAGGCUUAAGAAGAUGGAUAAGACUAUGUUUCUUAAUCAAUUCCUACUUAUUAAACUACAAAUUAUGAUCAAUUUAAGGAUAACAUUAAAAAUGAACCACAGUUAUGGAAGAAUUGUGGGGGUAGCUUAGCUAUCUUUGAGAUAUGAGAUUUACUUAAGAAGAAUGGAAAUAUAAUUCGCAAGAUGUCAUCUCUUGUAAAUGAAUAAUUGUUUGAGGUAUGGCAAGGUUAGAGACCUUCUUACAAUAUCAUAAAUAUGGGGAAAGUCUACUUCUUGGCAAAUUAUUUUGUAAGUCCUAACAUAUGUUUCUAGGACUUAACAUUGGAAAACAACUACUCUCAUAUAAAAUAAAAUUUCAAUAUGGAUUUUGCGCACCAUUAAAUAUAGUCAACUUAGUAAUGGAUCCAAUUAUUAAAUGUUAGACUAAAAAGUAAGUUAAUCAUAAAGGGGAAUGAGGGCUAAAGUCAACAUGACUAAUGAAUCAGCCGAACGAAAAUCUAACUUAGUUGAUUGGAGAACCACUACAAGAAAACAUGCUAUAGGACACCAAUGUUUGCACACCAUUUACUAUUAGAGUCCAUAGGUAGAAAGUUUUAAAUUUAAGAUUGGUGUCCUUUCAUUUUUGGUGUCUUUAAAUCUGAGAUUAGUGUCUUUUAAACUCAGACCCACCGAUGAUGGUGCUAGUGAAACCCCUUUGGUAAAACUCAGACCCUCCCCCCUCCCGUAUCCUCUCUCCCUCUUCUCUUUCACGCAACAGCGCCGCCGUCCGCCGGUCACCAAUGACGGUCAAAUUAUACCUCCAGAACCCUCUUCCCGUCCUCUUUCCAACGCCCAAGUUAAUUUUUACAAAUUCGUAACCGAAUUUCCGCAAUUUCAGAUCUAAGAAACAGUGACCGGGGAUUCGGUUACGAAAAUCUCCGGUCACUGUUUUUAUUGGACAUUUGAUUGCAGGUUAUAGCAGCAACUUGCGGAAAUUCGGAUCUAAGAAACAGUGACCGAAAAUCCCCGAGUUUCCGCAAUUUCUCGUAUACUUACAUUACUAGUUUUUAUUGGACAUUUGAUUGCAGGUUAUAGCAGCUAAUGGGAAGUUCCGCCUAUCAAUGCUACUACAAACUAGAAUGUCGACGCCUCUAGAGGAAUUGGCGUAGUUAACUGUUUUUUGGAAUAUGUACGCUUUCCCAAGUACAUGCAAUGGAAGCUUUUACAUGGUUAUUGCACCUCCUUUUACUUGGUUAUAAGAGUUGGCAUGGGUAUUUUUAACAUAAUUAUACUGAAUGAUUUGGUGCUCUAUAGAUUGUUUAUUUCCCUUCUUUGGAGAAACCUAAGUGACUCUGUCAGGAACCAUUGUCCCUCAUAGUUGAGUGUCCAUCCUUGUUGUGUUACUUAGUGGUAUACUGUUUUUUUCCUUCUUUUCUAGGUCAAAGCUAGACACUUACGAUAAUGAGGCAUCCUUUUUUUACAACACAAUUUGCAAGUUGUUUUUUUGUUUUGUUUUUUUGUUUUUUCGGACAAGGGGUUCCACUUUUAUUACCAACACAAAACUUACACAACUGGAGGUCCAAAUUUACAACAGCCACACAACAACUAAGAGCCUCCAAAACACCAACAAAAGAAGAGCCCAACCCAAGAGUUGAGCCCAAAACAAAAGUACACACGGAAACCUAACCGACUAAAUCCUUUGUCGUUGCAAGAGCACUCCUCCGACCACGAACUGAGCCCCCUGCAAUUGCUGAAGAUAAAUCCCAACCAAGCCCCAGGAACAGAAACAGAAAAUUGCAACGUCCUCAAACAAACAUCCCACACAUCAAGUCUGGAACCACCAAGGGAAGGAAGCCAUUGGGAAAGAACCUCUCAUAGGCAACAGUGCCAAGACUGACACACAAACGGAAAGAGGUGGUGUGACCAUCCGAGCUGAAGCUCUACACACUUUCCUAGAAAGUCGUGAAACACGGUAAAACGAAAAGGUUACAGAACAAAAGAAUUGUGGGAUGAAGAUCGGGCGAAGUGGGAUAGACAAAAAGUUGUUUGAGUAAAUGCAUGGAGGUGGAAAGAUUAUGGGGAGAAUAAGAAAGGAGAGAUCGGAAAAGGAAAUUUUCCAGUCGAGAGCCAAGGUCGGUUAACUGAAGCAAGAGGGGGUGGAUGAUAGAAGAAAAAUGGAUCAGAAAAUCAAGAACAACAGAGGAGGAGAACAGGAAAAAGAAUAGGGACAGGGAUUGCCACCGACCCUGGCAACUGCUAAGGCCGGCGGCUGAACGAUUCAUUGGAUGUGGAAGCACUAACUCACAGAAAGUGAGAAGAUCUCUCACACGGAGAGGAAGACUCACACAGAGGGAGAGAACUGAUUUACACAAUUUGCAAGUUUGACACCAAUGAUUUAGGGUGGCACUAUUUUCAAAUGACUCCAAUGUAUUAAGGGUCUCUAUUGUUACAAUAGAGACUUCUACAUAGGACAUGUACUCCUAUUUAGUGGCUAUUUGGUGGCAAUUGAGGUUUGCCACCAAUGUGAGUGUCCACUAUUUAUAAUAGACACCAAUGAAAAGGGUGUUCUUUAGCCAAAAUUCUAGUAGUGAUCCCAUGGUCUAAGUUUAAUAGGCAAACUGGUUGGACAUGAUUCAAAGAAGUUAACACACUAUUUACCUCAUUCCUGUGAUGGAAGAAGAAUGUUAUUUGAAGAAAUUUUAGUGUGUAUAUUUAUACUUAAUGGUAGUGAUAUCUUAUAAAUAAGAGGAGAGAGCAGACUAUUUUUAAUCAGUGGUCACCUAUGUGGGAGUAAAAGUGGGUUGUUUCUAUGAGUAUGAGAUGACUACAUUCUCUAAAGCUUCUAUGAAUCUGGGAUUUGUUCAGCACCAAAAUGAACACAACUGUAUGAACCAUGAUGUAUGUUGCUUAUUGUCUUGGUUUACUGCUGCAGUGAACAGUUCAAGAUCUUUCACAUCCAUUGCGUCAUCAAGUAAAUCUGAUAAGUUUAGGAUAGGUUCAGUCCAAAAGACACCUCUCCCGAUCUCGUCCACCGUACUCUCAAAUUCUUCAUAAUUUUCAUUCAUGUGGAGGAUUGUUGGAGUCUAUAAAUUUUAAUUUAUGAAUGACAAUAUUCAAGUCUUAAAGGUUGCAUUGUUCCACGUGUAAACAUGAUGCUAAGUAUUAAAGAACCAACGGUUUUGGUUUGAAGGAUGCAUAUUUUCUGAUAGGUUACAUCUUCUCGUUAAGCAAUACUUGAGUGCUAUAUAAACCUAAGAAACUAUUGUCAUUUAAGUAGAAAUUAAGAGAAGAUUUUUCUAAUGUCUUUUAUUAUUUGCUUGUCAAAUUCGAGUUGUUUUAAGAGUACGGAAUAUAUGAAGUUCGUUAGAGUUCGAAGAUUGAAGUGCUUUGACUUCUGAUUAUAGAUUGUUGAAUCUUGGGAGACAAAGGCCUACCGAGCUACAAGCAUAGAGUAGGGGAGAAAUUCUAUAUUUAGAACAUUGCAUUUAUGCAAGCCUCAAUUUCCAAAUUUGUCAAUCUUUCUUACUUUCUCUCUAGUUGUUUAUAUUAAUCUUGUAUACUAUUGAUAUUUGUGGUUUUCUUUAUGAUUAUUAUUAUUGGACUUCUUGUGUUAUUUUCAUGUUUUUUAAUAUUUUUCCAACAGUAGCAAAUAGAAGAAUUAAUGCUAAUGUCACAAGCAACUGAAGGUACAUUUUUCCUUGGAAUACGGUAACACCAAUCAUAGGGUCUCCGGAGCAUCCAUGUAGCAUAUAUCCAAAGGUGUAAACGAGCCUUACUAUACGUAUUAUAGCAUAUAGUUGUGGUGGCAUAUCAUUUCUUGAAGUCCUUGGGUUAAUUUGAAUUUUUAGGUUAUAACAAAGGACUUGGAUUUGAGUUUUGUCAGGUUAUGAGAACUACUGUGUUCCUCUGUUGAAUUCCAAGUCUUUCCACUAACAAUAUAUACACACACACAUACAUAUAUAUACAUGUAAUACAUACAUACAUACAUACAUACAUACAUAUAUAUACAUGUAAUACAUACAUACAUACAUACAUACAUAUAUAUAUAAAGAAUGACCAGCUAAUUUGUAAUGACAAAUUAUUUACAUGUAGUGCCGAAUCAUUUGUUGUCUAUAAGACUAUAACAACUACCUAUAUAUAAAGAAUGACCAAAAGAACAUACUAUUGUUUUGGUUCUGGAAUGGCACCCCCCAUUAGAAAAUUGAUUACUUUUAUGAUAAUAUUAUACAGGCUUUCAAAUUAGAAAAAGAGCACAUACUAUUUUUUGCUUCUUUUAUAUAUAUAUAUAUUUUUUUUUUUGGUCACCAAACUAAAUAAAUUAAACACAAACAAAUAAUUUUUAUUUUUAUUUUUUUAAAAAGAGGACAACAAGUUGCAAGUCAAGUUUAUUCAUCCCUUUCGGGUUCGGAGAAGAUAUGAAGAAUUUCACCUUGAUGUGACCAUAGUUAAGCAAACUCAUCACGGAGAAAAAAAAAUGUGUAAUUAACAUUUCCUAUUCCGCUUGACCAUCGAAGUAAAGUUUCAUACUAUAAUUAAUAUUUCUCUCAUAAUUCAUAUUUAUUGUGACACAGUUUUUACUUUAUUAAAAUAAUUUUUUAUUUAAAUACCAAGAACGAUAGUUGUUGAAUUAAUUAAAAUAAAUAAAAAUAAAGAGAGGCGGCUGUCUAUCAAACGAAGGUGCGCAGCUGUUUCUAGGAACAAACUUAGCAAAUACAAAACUAAGGCAAGGCGUAUAUAAAUAGCCAUUCAUGCAUAUGUUUUCAGACCAUCAAACAGAAUUUCCUAUUUGCAUAAUUGCAGUGCAAGUAACUAAAACAAAAUGUUUGGGGGCAAAAAAGGAAUAAAACUGACACUUACGGAGAGUGAAGUGCUAGCGGUAGCGAGGAGGAGGAAAGCCAUAGAAGAUCAGAAGAAAAGAGAAGCACUGGAGAAAGCUAGGAAGAUAAGAGAAGCAAAGGAGAAGAAAGAGAGGGAGAAGAAGCUUGCACAGAAUGAGUUGUACAGGAAAAUUGAACACAAGAAACAAAUAGAAAGAGACAUAGACAUGUUGAGGCGCAAGCUCGCAAAUAUGCCCAAUUAAUCGAUCAUCAACUCUUUGGCAGUUACAUCUGCAAACUCCUUCCAAGCUUGUUUAAUUUAUAUUUACUUUUCCUUUGUUGUUUUUCCCUUUUUGUUAUUGGCUGAUGGUUUUUCUUGUCUAU
rnacentral:lncRNA from 1 species